rnacentral:lncRNA from 1 species
CUUGAACGACUUCCAAAGCAACUGAAGUAUUUGACUGCCCUCCGUCACCUCAACACUCACAGAUGUGAGCAGUUGAAAAGCAUGCCUGCAGAGCUCGGACGCCUAACUUCCCUACAGACGCUUACAGACUUUGUAGCAGGUGCCGACGACUCCGGUUGCAGUAAUUUGGGAGAGCUGCAGAAUUUGGACCUUGGUGGUACACUGGAGCUAAGCAAGCUAGAAAAUGUGACAGGAGCAGAUGCACAAGCAGCAGGUCUUGGAAACAAGAAAAAACUGACCGAACUGGUGUUAUAUUGGACCGAUAGUAACCAGGAAGCACAGAAUAAUAAUCAUAAAGAGGUGGUGGAAGGUCUCAAACCUCAUGAUGGGUUGAAGGCUCUGAGGAUAAAUCAAUGUGGGAGCAGAACUUUUCCAACUUGGAUGAAUACUUUGAAAGGCAUGGUGGAGCUCAAAUUAUUCGUUUGCAAAAAGCUCGAAGAGCUUCCUGCACUCUGGGAGCUACCAGCUCUGCAAAUUCUUCACCUGGAGGGUCUGGAGAGUUUACAUUGUUUGUGCAGCGGUGGUACUACACCCGUCACAUUUCCAAAACUGAAGGUGCUUACCUUGUUAAAAAUGGCAAAAUUUGAGGCAUGGUGGGAGACACAUGAGGUACAAGGAGAAGAGCCCAUAUUUCCCAAGGUCGAGGAGCUGGAGAUUAAGGAGUGUAACAGUUUGACUGCAUUACCAAAAGCAACGUCGGUGAUUACAGAAUUGUCUGGCAGAGUUGACACUAAGUGCCGCUCUGCAUUUCCAGCAUUGAGGAAAAUGAUCCUAUUUGAGUUGACUAUGUUUGAAAGAUGGGAGGCAGGCGAAGGAAUUUCAGGCGAAGAGGUAACCUUUCCUCAGCUCGAGGAGCUGUCAAUCAUGUAUUGUCAAAGCCUGAGUGCACUACCAAAUGGAGCUGAAACUGUGUGGUGCCGCUCUGCAUUUCCAGCACUGAGGAAACUAGAAUUAUCUAGUUUGUCGGCCCUUGAGAGGUGGGGGGCAGCUGAAGGAACUCCAGGAGAAGAGGUAACCUUUCCUCAGCUCGAGGAGCUGACAAUCGGGUCUUGUCGCAGCCUGAGUGCACUACCAAAAGGGCCAUUAUUGGCUAAGCAACCAUUUGGCAGAGCUGGAACUGUGUGCUGCCGCUCUGCAUUUCCAGCACUGAGAAAACUAAAAUUAUUUUUUUUGUCAGCUCUUGAGAGGUGGGGGGCAGCCGAAGGAACUCCAGGAGAAGAGGUCACAUUUCCUCUGCUGGAGAACUUGAGUAUCGAUGAUUGCCCGAAGUUGACUGAUCUACCUGAAGCACCGAAGCUAAGUGAAUUAUCCAUAAGAACAUAUGGUGAUCAGCAAAUAUCGCUAGAGGCAGCUAGCAGAUGCAUCCCUUCAUUGUCCCGUCUGCAUCUGGAUGUGUCGCCCGAUGACACAGAAACAACAUUGCUGCAUGUCAAGAAGAAAUUGAAUGGUACACUCGCCCUACCAGCUAUGAGGUUAGGUUGCUGCGACGUUUUUUUCUCCUCCCGCUCAAGCGCACUGGCGCUAUGGACAUGUUUUGCACAGCUAGUAGAUUUGAAGAUUUGGUGUUGCGAUGCUCUUGUCUACUGGCCAGAAAACGUGUUCCAGGUCCUAGUAUGCCUGAGGAACUUACAUAUUUCCACAUGUAGCAAACUGACAGGACGCACACAAGCUUCUGAUGAGCAAUCUGCUCCAGCUCCAGAACGUGGUGGACUCCUGCCAUGCCUGGAGUCUCUAAGGAUAGAUUAUUGUCCAUCUUUGGUAGAGGUCCCCAUCCUGCCGGCAUCUCUUAAGACAUUACAUAUUGAAGGCUGUGAUGAAAUCGAGUCCAUCGUAUUCUGUCACCCGGAGGAUACGAGAUUGGUGAGUGGAGAAGGUGUUGUACGGCCGGAUACGUCAUCAUUAAUUCCAGGGUCUACAGCUGUACUGAAGCUGUCAUCUGGAGCCAACCAUCGUUUCCUUCCAUUUCCAUGCCUAGAAUAUCUACUUAUAUGGUAUUGCAGUGGCUUGUCAGAGGUUGCCAAUCUUCCUCCGUCUAUCAAGACCUUGGACAUUUAUUCCUGUAACAAUCUUCAAUCCCUAUCAGGAGACCUCCCGUUGCUGGAAAAACUCGACCUUUUUAGAUGCGAAAGACUGGUAUCCUUACCGGAUGGGCCUCAAGCAUACUCAUCUCUUAGAGUUCUUCGGAUAAUGAAUUGUGAUGGUAUAAAGUUGCUUCCGCCAAACCUUCAGAGCCGUUUGGGUUACCUUGAGAAGAAAGAUCUAGAUGCCCGUUACGAAGGUAAUCUCCAGUUUCUUUGUUUCUUUUAACAAAAUGAUCAGGAGCUCAAUUGCUGUUGCCUAAAAUGCAACUCUGUGCUUAAACAUUCUGUUAGUCAACUGUUGUUGAUAUAUACAUUAUAUCGAGUAUAAUGCACCACUAAUACCUAUAUUUAUGUGCACUUGUGUCACUUAAAUCCAUUAACUUUCAUAUAUUGCACAUUCGAGGUAUCUAAACACUUACAGCUGGAUCAAGAAGUUUAUGCACCAAUAUACACUUCACUUUACUCUAGUCAUCCUUGUAUAUCUCCUUGUUGUCCGUACAAAGAAUUUAACUAUAAGAUGAUCUUUGUGGUUCACUUUUGAUACCUUGGUUGUAAACUUGUAAUUGCUGACUCGAAUCAUGUAAUAAAAUCAAUCAUCUUCCUUUAGUUGUAUUUAAAGCAGCAUGGCAUCAUGGAAUUAUUGCAGCCGAAUUCACUAGCUCCAAUUAAAGUGGCACUGGUCCUAGUGUUUCUCUGGACAUUCACUAGCUCCAUUGUAUACAGUUCAAGUAUGUGUAGUUUUCUUUUCAUGGCUUAUGCCUUUUGACAUAAAUAAUAAUUUUCCUUUGAAACAUUUACUAUUGGGUGCCACAGCAUAUUCUCCUGUGUAUAUAUACUUUCUAACUUUGUGUUGACUUGCAUGCAUAAAUUCUAACAUCAUGUAUGAUCAUGGCCUGAUUGCCAGAACCAACCUGGAAACGUUCGAUCAGGAAGCUGGUGUGCUUGAAAUAGUAGAUCAAGACCUGACCAAAGAAAGUUAUUUCCAAGGUAUUUUUGCAAAAACGUCACCAAGGUUUGUAAUAUUAGUGUUCUUGAUGAUUGAUUUGAAAUGAUGCUAGCUCCUAAUGCUGACUUCCUAUGCGUUGUGACUUCCUUGUAGGAUCGUGCUAGAUCUGCAAAAGAUGGAUUAUUGUGACUCUUGUUUAGAAUGUAUCAUAUGCGCAUUCUCUCCAGUAAAGUUAAGGCAAAGUCCUAGAUUUUGAGCAGAAAACAAGUCCUAGAUUGCAAGCUGAAGAAUUUAGCACACAGAGCUGCAUGCUCCAGUCUUUUAUCCUUAUUUUUUUCUUUUGAACUAUGACGUGUUUGCAUUCGUGUCUGCUUCAGCCUCCAGCACAAGCGAAACACGGGCAGCACUUCCAUUUUAUGAUUUGUUUAUCCACAUACAUGUCCGAUUGACCGCAGAGGAUACUUUGCCAUAGAGUAGACCAACAGUCCAACGUACUCAUGUUGUUGCUCGACAAGCUGUCCAAGCUGCUGCUUGAUAUGAACUGAAAGUGCUGAGUUUUCUCCCGUGUAUGUUCUGUGUAUCAAAUACUGAAUGGUGUGCAGGGUGAUCCUCCAUCCUGGAAUGGCACGGUCUUGUGCAGAGGUCUCAUUGUUGUUGACCUGUUUCUUCAAAACUGCAUGUGCAGCAACAUUUUCUCCUGGCAGUGCUGCAAUGGAAUUGAAAAGAAUGGUGAUUGUUAUAGUAUAAUUGUCAUAUAUAGUCUGGGACACAAAACAAUGGAGGUACAUGAGCAAGGAAGAAGCUCUGGAGGCAGGGGAUGGAACAGAACAGAGACACGGACUCUGUCUUCUUCCGAAUGCAGCUCCUCUGUAUUGGCGAUGAAGGACCCUACAAGUUGGUUCUCAUAGACAGAAUUGAGAGCUACGGAUGUCCGCUCCCAAGAACGAACUGCCAGAGCAAGAAGAUGAACGUAAUCUGUAUAGAUAAAAAAAUUUAACAGAAGUUUUCAUGAGUUAUCCUUUGUCUGGGGCCAUAGUACAAACCCUGCAUUUCGAAUUUGGGACUGCCCUCCUGUAUGGUGUGACCUAAAUUUUAACAAAAAUUAUCCUAGUGUGGUGUGGCUACGGUUGUUUCAUACGACUAGUGGUGGUACCCGUGCGACCCGCACUGGUUUAAAAAUAUAUAAUAAAAACAAACUUAUUAUUCAUGAUAUUAAAUACGUAUAAUAUACAAAUAAAUCUAAUAUAUAAAAGAUGUCCCAAACAAACUACCAGCAUCUUUGGAUCACACGGGUCUACCAUCAAGAAAUAAUUCUUAAGAAAUGAACUCUUUUGUAUAGUAAGUCAUUUUUCUAAUGAUACUGGCAGUAGUUAAAGCAGGAAUGUAGGAUAACUAGGUAAAGAAGUUUGUGUGAUUGUGUCUACCAUCCUAAGCUGGCAUUCAUGUCUACCAUAGUAUGACAACCCAUCUUGUCGAGUGGAGACAAUUUCGUGUAAAAAAAAGGAGUUCAGAUGAAUUUGUGUCAAUUAACGCUUUCCAGUACUACACAUCUUCCCCCAAUCACCUAGAAUUCCAGACAGAUCUUUCUUCCCCAACCAGCUAAUCCAGAGCAAGGGGUCAGAUUUUUUCUACCGUUUGUAAAUUGUAACCAUGCUACCACUUUACUCUCCCAUCUGUGUUUUAAAAGAACUUAAGUUAGAAAAUUUUGAAAGAAGAAUAAAACGAUAAACAAAAGCAACUGGAAACCCAAUUUUGAAGCAACACAAUGUUAUAUUUUCAAUUCACCGAUCACAGGUACCAUUACUGCCCUGGGGCUUUAAGUCGCCGCAAACAAAACUGAGGAGUCUCCUACAUACUACGAAUUAGCUGAAACUAUAAUGACAUCAUUCUAAUUACUACAAGAAAGGUCAGGUCAAUUUGGCUUAAUUACCUUGUGGUUCUGCUUCGGUUGAUGGUAGACAAAUAUUAAUACAAGGAAUUUAAGCAUUGCUACCUUGAAUGAACACAUAUAUCCAAAAGAAAAUGUGUUUGGAAGUAAUUCUUGCUCUAUUCAAAUGUCUAGGGAAUAAUUUCAAAUAUUAUUCCAAUUUGAUUCUUUGCCUCAUCGACAACUCAACUCAAUUCUCAUUACAAUAGUUCAUAUGUCCAGAUUGAACAUGUACUUUGAAAAAGAUGCAUAGGCUGAAUAAUGUCCCCAUCCCAAUAAACAUACCAAAACAAAACAGCUAAAUUAAGAAACACACAUCCAUAUAGAGGUAAAGCUUCUGCCUUCUUCCUCAAACAUGAUUUAGAAAUCUUUACAAACCAGCCAGCCUGUAAUAAAACGUCUGCAUAAUAAUAAAAAAAAAGAAUGAGCCAUUGAUACUUACGAUUAGUAUUAGAAACAAUCAUCUCAUUAGGGGCUUACAAAGUAAGAUUUAAAGUCCAAACAAAGUAAUAGUUGAGUGUCCUUGCAUUGCAAUCGCCAUCGAUACUAACAAGCAUUGUGCAUCAUUGAACUCUAGUGGGGGCAAUAAUAUGAUAAUAUUUAACUAUGAUGAAAUGGUGAGCCAUUAACCUUGCCCUUGUGGAUACAUAAGCAGAAGAAAAGUACAUAAAUUCCAAAUCCGAAUUUAGUAGCAAUAUCAUCAAUACAUUUUCUUUGAAACGCACCAUCUGCUGCGUUGUGGGUUCUGAUUUCUUGCUGAGGAACAUUUGCACAAGCAGAGCCAUGUUGUGUCCAGGUAACCAGUAGAACAAAUAAAAAAGGACUAUCUCUGAUGCAUAGGUAUCCUAUAAUCUUCGACAAAUACAAAGAGUUUAACAAAAAUCGAAUGGUUUUAAAAAAACAUCACAGAGUCACAAGAUUUAGAAUCAAAAGAAUGGAAGGCUUUGUAAAAACCAUGCGCAAUUUCCAAACAGCACAAUUUUCUCUUCCAUUACAUAGAUUUUAACAAGGUUAUUAUGUAAAAUUAAAGGUAUAUUAGAAAGGUAGAUAUAGGCACAUAGCUGUUACUCCAAGGUAACAUAGGUUUCAGGUAGAAAGCUUCAAUCAGCAGCAAAAGCCCCUUUUCAUCUAGAUGGCUUGCAUAAUCAAUGCCUCCUCAUUCUGGUGUUUGAAAUGCUCCUGUACAACCAUCACAACAGACAGCUCAUCAUCUACAUCACCUUACUGUAAAGAAAUACCAUAGUAAUUUUUCUCUGCACAAAUAAGCAACGUGUAAGAAAGCUUUAAUUUUUUCACAGCCACAAAAUUUAAAUCCAUAGCAUGUAGUAACUAGUAAGCAUCUGUAGUAAUUCCUAUUUAAAGUGUCCCAGAAGCUUAACCACACCAAAGCAAUCGACGUAGAAGUCAGAAAGCUAACCAUAAGUCAAUGAAAUAGCAAAAUGAAGCCCUCGAAAAGCGAAACUGCCUUUUCUACAGGAGGUAGAAGUACUAAUACUUACUUCCCCCAUCCCAAAUUGUGGGUCGUUUUAGCAUUUCUACAUUAAUAAAAAGUUAGAUGCUGCCUUUUCUACAAGCUGUCGCUCCCACGAGGUUAUCUGCUAGAUCACUGGACGCAAUUUGCCAAUGGGACUGUUAUGGCAAGUGGGCUGGCCGCAGGCCUAGGCCCACGAGUAUUGUAGCUCGUGAACAGUACCACAAGGGGAAUAAGAUUGGUUUGUUAGCAGGUCAUUAGAGAUAAGGUUGUUAGAGAGAUACGGUUAUUUAGAUUAGAUUGGGUUUGUUAGGUAGCUGGCUAUAUAAGCACAGCCACACCAUCCAUUGUAAUCAAGCAAGAAGAACCCUAAAAGUAGUCGGAGCCUCCAAGGGAGGGCGACAAAUAGGUUCUUCGUGCUAUCCCUAGUUCUACCAUAUCAAGGACCGACCAACCCCUGCAAACAAAAUAAAUGUAGCAGGAUGCUGGUUUAAGUCGGCAGAAGAAGGGCAAAGAAGAUACAAAGUAAACAUUAAGGAAUUGAUCUUAAUUGGAUGCUUCCAUUUGAAUCUAUCUAGCAGUGAUCUAAUAACCAGAUGCACCACCAUAAUAACCAAUGGCAAAAAAUCUCAGGCAUAAACUUCUAUGUUUCAGACCAUACAUUUCAGCUUGACGUGGUAACAAUAAUGGAGCCGUACUGCAGGAGGAUGUACUUGAAAAGUUUAUUUUACCAUGGAUUGAAGAUACGGCAACUAGCCACUUUGCGAUUCUUCAAUAUCUUUCCUUGAGCUAAUAACUAUUGCAAGCUCAUCACCGCUAACACGAAAAUCAGACCUGUAAAACAUAAAGCUUAUAACAUAACCUAAAGAAAAGUAAUUGUCUGAUUCCUAGAGCUACAUCUCAAGCAACAGUAUAUUACUAACUUUAGUAAUCAUGGAGAUGAAUGGCCAAUUCUUCAACAUAUCUUAUAAUUAGUUAACAUACUUCUGAAAAAUGUCUCAUACUUACAGUUUAUAGUUAUGCAUUUUGCAAAGUUAAAAGCUCUUUUAGAUUUCUGAAGUUUUCAGUGAGGAUCCGCAAAUCUCUGUGAUGAUACCAGUUUCAUACAAAGAUGCAAGAAUUAUAUCUAAUAGUAUUGCCAGACCCAUUGGAUGUGUCCAUGAAACACACCUACUAAUUGGACAAUGGCUGUAGUGAAAAAUUCUUUGCAGAGCAAUAACAUGAAACAGAUAAGAAAUGAGAAAAAAGAGUAGGGAUCACGUACUAACCUAGGCCGUGCACUUGCCUGCUGUAUGCUAAAGGGGAAGAAACAUGUUCGGAUCAAACAUGGUGUCCUUCAAACAUGGUGGCCCUCACCUCUAAACAGUCAGGUAAAUCUAAGAGAAAUAGAAUUGCUGCCAACUGAAAGACUCGAAACUGCUAGAAGAAAAAUAACUCGCAGUGGCAACCUAUCAACACCAUUUUGAAGGCUACAAACCCUUUACUGCGUUAGACAUUAUAAUUUUAGGCUUGUUCAUCAAAGAGUGAAUUGCCGAAUUGAAGGAACAUACAAUAGAUUCCACAAGUACAUGAUAAAGAGGAGAUGAUAAAGUGGAAAUAAUACCCCUACUUACAUGUGUCUUUGGAUACAACAGGUACACGAUAAAUAAAGAUACAGAAGUCAAAAUAAAGAGAAGUUUGAAGGAGCGUAAAAGGAAUCGCAAUGCAGUUUUAUUUGAAUCCAUGUAUGCAUGUACGUGCAUUCUUGUGUUCAGUUAUGACAAAGAGGGUUAGGAGGAACGAGAAGUACCUGCUAUGCUGCUGCAUCUGGCUCUUUUCCUGGCAAGAGAAACAAAUAAAAAAUGAAUAAGGUGCAUAAAUAACAUAGUGCUGCAAUGCUAAAGGAGGAAACCAAAACAAACAUUUACGAAAUUGAUUAUGAUUAUUAGUAACUGAAUACAUUCAGAAAAAAAUAAAAACCAUUCGCAUUAGGGCUUGGCGAUAUAACUGAACCGUUAGGUCGCAAAGAUCAAGCCAUGUCACUAUAAGCAAUGCUGGUAGUGAUAGGGAAAAAAAGAAAUAACAGUUCUGACAGAAUCACUUAUGAUUUGGUUGCACACACAAAGUAGCAAGGAAAAAAAACAGUGCUUAGACAAAUGAAAACUUCAUAAAUCAAACUGCUGAAUGAUUGCAAGGGAGGUGCAUACUUCCUCUUUCUGUUGCCCAUAGCAUUUGUCAUGUCAUCCUUCGGCAUAUUGGUGCUUGGAGUUCCCACACUGUUCAAGAAAGAAAAGGUACAAUUUCAGGUUUCAUUAAGACAGUGCUGACAGAAUCACAGCUGUUACUCUGUUAGAAUCUAUUGAGUCCAAAGUCUAAACAUGUAUAUAUGAAGUCUAAAUAUACAGGAUAUGCAAGUAACAACAAUUAUAAUGGGCAAAUAAACAUUGCACUGCCUGAAUUGCCAUGUCUACAUGGCAUUUAGCAAUGCAAACUGUACAGAAUGGAAAGAAAAUCUGAAGUAAACAAUGAUCAGUCUAUCCAAAUAUAGACUCAAAGAACAAUUUCACAUACAGGCACAACAUCUCGGCCUGGAGAAUGGCGCAACAUCUCUGCCUUGUUUCAGAAUUCAGAAACCAGGUUUGGUGCCUUCCAGCAGUGGGCUACCAUGCACACAGUACGUCCAUACCUAACCAGAUGGGCCAAAUAGAGGCGCAUCACCAAACCAAAUCAAUUUUCAUACUCCGUCCCUCCCAAAUUAUAAACUGUUUCGGUAUUACUAGAUUCAUAAGUUUUGUUACGUACCUAGAUAUACACUGUGCUUAGAUACAUAGUAAAUUCUAUGAAACUAAAAACCGCAAAAUGAUCUACAAUUUGGAACGGAAGAGUAGUAUGCAAGAAAUGUCAAAUGUGCUAUCGACAACCAGGUAAUUUGUUUCUGAAAGAGAGUAGGGUUCAGUUCAGAUAUAAUGCUCUUGGACCAGUGAGCAUCAGCAAGGGGCAAGUUGCCGAUGUCCCAGUCCAAUUCUAUCACACAACUUGCCUACUGGAUCAGCUUAUUUCUUUGUUGGGCAAGCAUAAUUUUCCCCGUAUAAAAAGGCCACACAACCUCAAGAGAAGAUAAUGAGGUAAUACUUGGUGUACAAUACACAUAUAAUUGCUCCGUUCUUCAAUAGACAGUUCAGGUGCAGAACCAGUCCGAAUUUAAGCAAAGACAGUUCAGGUGCAGAACCAGUCCGAAUUUAAGCAGGUUCAGACCAUACUCAGAAAGGUUAUGCUUGAUUAAAAUUCUAUUGAUAAGUAUUUAUACAUUAUAACUGAAGGUAAUACGUUUCCAGAUGGCGUCAAAUUGCUGCUAGUCAAAGCCUCAUAAAAAAGUUUAUUGGCAGAUCUCUUGGACUGUCAUAGUGCAUGCUCCCUGUCCCUGACAUUGUAACCCUGGUGUGAGAUCCUUAAGUAAUCUGUCACUGGAAUCACCAAUCCUAUCCGUAGACAAUUACUUAAACCUAAUUUGAAACAAAUAUUAACUAAAUGGGCCAAAGAAUGUGAAGCUAACUGAAUGCAGUCUGCAGCAGAACUAAGAACAAUGUCAGGGCUGAUUGCUCAUAGGCUGACAGCCACAGCAAAGAAAAAUGUCCCUGCAGAAUGAUCAUGGAACAAAGCUGGGGUUACUUACUAAACACGAAGAACUCUCUCCUUCCAAGCUUCUUGGUUCUUCCGUUCCAAUGCUCUGUGGUACACAUGAAAGCAUCUGAUCAAUUUAUGUGCAUAAUUCAUUUUCCAAUGAACAAGCAUUGGGUUUGCUGGAUGUGGCUCUGAUCAAGUUUCUUCCUUGACAUUUUGUCAAACACAUGGAAUGCACCAGACUUUUAAUUUUAUUGGGUCAAGAUUUUGCAGGGAAAAUUAUUCAAUCAAAGAAACAUUACAAUGGGAAAAUAUGUUGAAUGGGAGAGGAAACAAUAACUUGCAAAUACUGAAUUUCAUGCUAGAGUUGUAAGCCAAUGGCUAGGAAUCAAAUGCAAAUGGCAGUGGUUCAAUUCUAACCAAUUGAAACAUAUGCUUGCGAGGGAACCAACCUUCUUGAAGACAUUGCAAGAGUUGCAGAAGCAUCCCCUGUAAUGACAGAGUGGCACAUGGAGAUUAGAGUUGAAGACAUUGCAAGAGUUGCAGAAGCAUCCCCAUCAAGAUUAUCUUGGAUCGAAGGUUGGCAUCCAUCGGUGUUCCAAAUCUCUAAUCACUGAGAAAAUCUCCAAAAUUAGCAACGCAAUACAAGCACGUUAUUGCACGUUAUUGCAGCGCUGCUGGUGGAGCCGUCCGGGAUCCCCAACCCCUUGAGGUGUUCGCCAACCUUGUUUACAUCCUUGCCGCUGCCGCCAUCGCCUACGUACCCGACCAGAUCAACCACAGAUUAGAUUAGGCCGCACCAGAGACUGCGGGGACUGCGAAGGGAGGGGAAGGACCACAGCAGAUUAGAUUAGAUUAGGCCGCACCACAUAUAGUUAGCUUGCAUCAUAUACCACAACAUUCAAUAUAGUAUGUACAGGCAUCAAAUUAGGAAAGGGAAAAGCAAUCAGAUCUUUUUGAAAAUAAAAGCGAAGAAUGCUGUGUUAAUCAAAACAAAGGGUAAUGAACAUCUGAAGUGAGCUAUGAGCUAACAGAUUAUAUAUUAAAUAUAAUAAGCACAAUUAGGAACGAAAAUUUACUCCAAAGAAUCCAAAAACAAGAACAUAAAAAAAAGCAGAGGAUCAGAGUUCUGGCUUGGUUCUCAAAAGAGAAAUUAUAGCACUCAGUAUGUUCAUUGUCGAUCAUCUGGGGAAAGGGUCAUCAUAUCCUCCGAGGUAUGCAACACAAUUAAGAGAGCUCUUACACAACACCAAAAGCAUAAACUCUGACAAGGGAAAAAGGGAAAGGCAGUAUAUGAAAUUCACUACAGGUCAACAAGAAAAUACAAUGCCGUAUAAACUAUGAAGGAUCAGAAUUCUGGCUUGGUUCUCCGAAGAGAAGUUAUAGAGUACAGUAUGUUCACUGUCAAUCAUCUGGGGAAAGGAUCAUCAUAUCCUCCAUUCAUAUAACGUUAAAUCAUAGGAGAAAACAUCAUUUUAGAUAACAUGUCCAAAAAUACGUUGUCCAGAGAAUAAUUGUGCGGUAGUCCAUGUAGCCAUGAGGUUGUGGUGGCUGAAGUCAUGGAUUCGAUACCCAAUUCUCCUUCUCUCAAAGCCGUAUUCCCAUAUUGACAUGUAAAAGUUCAAUUAAGUAGGAAUGAGAAAAUGUAUGACUACCACUACAUAUUGGUAUAAGCCACCAGCAGCCGCGGGGGCCGAGGGGGCGCGGAGGCGCGCGGGGAGGGAGGUCAGCGCGGACCGCAUCGCCAUGUCGUCGCGCUCGAAUCUGCCUGCGGUGGCCUGGUAGGGUUGAAGGGGAGGAGAGGACGGGGAGGAGAGCCGCCGAUUGGGUCGCAAUCGAGCUAAUGUGGAGGGAGGUCGGGAGAGCAGACGGGAAGAAGGAAAGAAACGCGUGAUUUGCGGGCGGGAUUGGCCGCGGGUACGGCGGGCGGUUGAAAAAUAAGCCAUUCCCCCGCCGCCAUUCCACUCCGCUCCCAUUCCCCCGCCGCCGCAGGAGCGCACUCCCUCCUGCACCCACCGGCGGCCCGCAAGCCCCCCACACCUUCUCCCUCUCCCUCCCCUUCCCCAUUCCUCCGCCUCCCGGCCCCCGCGCGCCCGCGCCUCCCGCUCCGCCUCCGCUCCACCUCCCCGGCCGCCGCCUCCGACCUCACCGACUUCCCCAACCCGAACGGCAUCCUCGCGCCCAUCGACGUGGACGCCGUCACGGAGGCGGAGCUUCGCGAGAACGGGUUCCGGAGCACGCGCCGCACCAAGCUCGUCCGCACCGUGGGCCCGGCCACCUCGUCGCCCGAGCAGCUCGAGGCGCUCGCCAUCGGCGGGAUGAACGUCGCCCGCCUCAACAUGUGCCACGGGGACCGGGAGUGGCACCGGGGCGUCAUCCGGGCAGUCAGGAGGCUCAACGAGGAGAAGGGCUACGCCGUCGCCGUCAUGAUGGACACCGAGGGCAGCGAGAUCCACAUGGGGGACCUCGGCGGCGCCACAUCGGCCAAGGCGGAGGUGAGGUGUUGUGCUUGUAUGUAAGCUGCUGUCCAGUUUUGUACUUGGCGUUGCGGUUUUCAGUUUUCAGAUUGAACGCUUUCACUUGAACGUAUUCCGUGAAAUGUGCUUGUGCAAUGUGGAUGAGAGGAACGGGUGGUGGCAGUGGCAGUGUCAGGCAUUGCAGUUUCAUACUUCUGCAAAACCUAGCGAGUCAGGAUUUCACCAAAAUGUUUUUUUUCCAUCUUCAAAAUGGCUCAGUUGAUUUAGAUUUUCAGCUCAUGUUUGAAAUUGCUAUAGAAGGAGAAUCAUUCAGAAUUUCAGAUUGUCAUCAAACACUGGAUUGUGAAAGUGGUAAUCAUUUUCAAGGCUUUCAAUCUUUCAAAAAAAAAAUCAAGGCUUUCAGUAUCAGUGCAACUCAAAUAAAGUGCAUGGUAAACAUCACCAUGUUUUGGCUUUCUCUGCAUAUAAGACAGGGUGCUGGAGUGGUUCGACCGCGUUGAGGUCCCAAUCCAACCGGUCGGGUUUUUUCUAGGUGUCAAGUUUGAGUGCUUACCCGCAUUGACAUCCCAAUCCAACCGGGCGAGUCUUGUUUAUUUUUCGUUUCUUUUCCUUUUCCUACCUAUGGCCUCCCAGGGCCGUAGUCUUGUAUUUUCUGCUAUAUCAAUACAAACUCGCACGGUUCGUUCAAAAAAAAAGUGAUAGGCAUUGAGGUUCUGAAGGUUGUUUUUUAGAUCUUAGGCCCAAGCCUCAAAUGGCUUUUUUUCCCCUGUUGCAAACCUUCCUUUAAGUAUUGCAUCUAGCACCGGGGAAAACACAGGAAUAUCUUUCAUUUCAGCAACAGAAUCUCUUAUAAAAAGGGCGUACCCAGUGCGAAAGCUCCCACACAAGGUGGGGUCUGGGGAAGGGAAUUCCUAGACAACCUUAUCUUUGCAAUAUUCUUUUAAAAUUCUGCAAAGAGGCUGGUUCGAACCCAGGACCUCCGGGCCACAAGUGGAGAGUUUAAUUUGAAUUAGCUUUAUUAGUAGAAUGCUUGGCCCAUUUAUUGGUAAAUGGUAAAAUUCAUAAAGAUUAUCCUUAUUCCGUUAAUCAAUUUUAGGUGUUUAACUUGCAGCAAAUUCGAACAAUGACAGACAUGCAGCAUAUUGUUAGUUCAUCUGUAAGACUUAGCUUGCUGGUUUAAUGCUUUGUUAAAGGUUUGAAGUUAAUGUGUCUACUGGUAGCUACUGAAUCUCUUUAUAGUUUAUUUAUAUCUUUUUUCUUUAUUAGUAUAAAGCCAUGUAGAAGUUUUCAGAAUACUGAAAUUUCUAGUGUUCGUUUUGUGGAGUCUCUCCACCUACAUCCUUUUUUACAACUGCAUUUCAGAUCCUUCAGUUAUAGCAUGAAUAUUUUUUUAAAAAGAAACUUCUAGGUCUAUUCUUGCCCGUAAUUAAUGUUAGUGUCUGAUGAUAGUUGUGUUUUAGAUAAUACAUUAAUAUUAGUAAUCCAAAGAAACUGAACUACUUCUAUGAUUCUAAGGCCCUGUUUGGCAUGGCUCCAACUCCGGGUGGAGCUGCUCCACUCCAGAACUUCACAUGGAGCCAGCUCCGCUCCAAAACUCCAGAACAAAAAUGAGGUGUUUGGCUAGAUGGGUGCUCUCAGCUCCAAAAAAAAUCGAUUUCAGUGUGGAUUGCCAUUGUUGCCCCCCAAUUAAGGCACCACUUGUCAUCCUCUCUAUCCCAUCUUCUUCUUCCCCUUUUUCCACUGCACUGUGCCGCACACGGGAGACCCUCCAUGGGCGGCGGGGUGGGUAGCGACGGGGCGGCGGGUGGCGACGGGCGACGACAGGCGGCGGGGUGGGUGGCGGCGGGCGGCGACGGGCGGCCGGCGCGGCGACGGGCGCGGCGGUGGGUGGCGGCGGGCGACGGGCGCGGUGAUGGGCGGCGACGGGCGACGGGCGGCGGCGGGCGGCAACGGGCGGCGGCGGGCGGCAACGGGCGACGGGCGACGGGCAGGGCUCUGGCGGCGAGUGGGGCUCGGGAGAAUAGAAGGGAGAAUAGAAUGAAACGUUUUUUUGUGUAACCAGUGGCAUUGGUGGGUAAUUACCCACCAACUCCACGAUAAGGUUCGAAAGAGAGGUUUCUGGAGCAGCAAAAGAGGUGCUCCAAAACUCCACCUGCAUUUGCACUACAGCUCCAUGGAGUUGGCAACUCCAUGGAGUUUUGGAGUUGGGGUGUUUGGCUGAAUUUUUUGAUGGAGUUGCUGGAGUUUAGGAGUGGAGCCGUGCCAAACAGGACCUAACUGUCAUCAGUGCUAGCUAGGGUCACUAUGCCAAAAGGAGAUUAUAUCACCAUUCGGCUGUUUAUCUUAAGUUUUUAACCAUACAGUCAGAAGUUUGAUUGUACACCUAUUCAAUAAUCCUAGGUUUUCUUGAGCCACGUUAUUUACCCAAUGACUUCCAUUUUUCUUGGAAUUAAAACAUUUCUGAAGUAAUUAAUAAAUCAUCUCACAUUUGUUGGAUUCCACAGGAUGAAGAAGUCUGGACAUUUAGUGUUAGGUCAUUUGAAUUGCCUCUCCCAGAACGAACUAUUAAUGUGAUUAUGACGGGUUUGCUGAAGGUAUAUAAGCUGACCUAUUUGUUGAUAUCUUUCGCUGUUAUUGUUCACUGCCAUAAUUUUGCAUCAAAAUCCUACACAGAUGUGAGAGUUGGUGAUGAGCUUCUUGUGGAUGGUGGAAUGGCUCGGUUUGAGGUGAUUGAGAAGUUGGGACCAGAUGUUAAGUGUCGCUGCACGGAUCCUGGUUUAUUGUUGCCACGUGCGAAUCUUACAUUCUGGCGUGAUGGCAGUAUUGUCCGUGAGAGGAAUGCUAUGCUUCCUACAAUUUCAUCAAAGGUAAAUGCAGUAGCAUAAUAAAUUUCUUGCUGCAAUUACCAAAAGACCGCAAAACUUUGUUAAUCUAUGCCCCCCCUUGGUACUAGUAUUGCAAUGGAUUUACAGCUUGUUUUUUCUGUCAAUGCCAUGGUCAGUUCAAAACAACAUGUAUUAGUUCAAAGCCUUACAUUGUGCACUGAAACUCAUCUCUCGAUAGUUUUUGUCAGCUAUUUCUUAAGAAGGCUUCUACCACCUAGAGUUGUUUAACUGAAAAUUUAAUCUUCUAGUAGCAGAUACUAAUAUUUUAAGUUUAUAACAAUGCUGCUCCUUUUCUUGUGACAACUUGUGCAGGAUUGGCUUGACAUAGACUUUGGAAUUGCCGAAGGUGUAGAUUUCAUCGCUGUUUCAUUUGUCAAGUCAGCAGAAGUAAUUAAACAUUUUAAAAGCUACAUAGCUGCAAGGAGCCGUGGCAGGUACCAGGAGUAUAAUUCUGUACUGUUAUUUAAGUUUAUGCUUUCUUGGAAAAGCCAUAUUUGACAUUAUUAAACUGAUAACGGGUGUUCCUAGAACUGUUCUGCAUGCUUAGCCACUGUUUGUGGUUGGUUCCUGGUCAGUCCCAGAUGAUUACUCAUACUGGUAGGGUUUUAGUUGUAUUCUAACCCCCAAAAAAUCAGCCUGGAAUAUAUUGGUUUCUAUGUAGUUACUAGAGAAAACAGUGAAUCAACAAGAUAUCCCCUUUCUGGUGUUCCUCCUUUUCUAAAUAAUGCUGUGGAACAACAUGAUUCAUGGAAGAAUAAUAAGAACUGUUUAAAAUUGUUUGGCUUUCCUCAACCUGGUGUCUUCUCUGUGCCAAAAAAACAACACUUGGUGUCAGGUGUCAUCUCAGCACCUACAAUUCAUCUGCAUGCACUAGAAAAAUUGUGUGUGUGUAGCUCCUGCCAAAAUUGCCAGUUUGCCAUUGUACGUCCAUCUCAUGUUUUGUGGCUAAAACUCAGUUAGUGACACAAAAAGUUACCUAGAUUAAAAUCGCUAAUCCCAAACCGCAAGUGAUACCAAUCUUGCUAUGUUAUCUUUUAUACUUCAAUUAAUUGGGCCUUGCAAACAUCUAAAUCAGAAAGGAUUGCUAGUACCGUGUUUCUGAAAUGUUUCCUUCAUUUUGCUGAACUUUGUUGGUUCCUUACUCUAAUAAUGCUUUAUUUUAUAUGAUCAGUGAUAAGCAGUCAUUGCGAAAAUUGAGAGCAUUGACUCUUUAAAGAACCUGGAGGAGAUCAUCCGAGCAUCAGAUGGUGCCAUGGUAGCCACUCUGGAUAUGGGGGCACAGGUUCCCUUGGAGCAGGUCCCCUCAAUACAAUAAAAGAUAGUUCAACUGUGCAGGCAGCUCAACAAGCCAGUCAUUGUUGCUUCUCAGCUCCUUGAAUCAAUGGUCGAGUAUCCUACUCCCACAAGGGCCGAAGUUGCCGAUGUUUCUGAAGCUGUCCGCCAGCGUGCGGAUGCUCUAAUGCUUUCUGGUGAGUCAGCAAUGGGAAGAUAUCCAGAGAAGGCUCUUAGUGUUCUGAGGAGCGUUAGCCUCAGGAUUGAGAAGUGGUGGCGGGAGGAGAAGCGACAUGAGGCACUGGAACUUCAAGGUGUUUCAUCUUCAUUCUCUGACAAGAUAUCAGAAGAAAUCUGCAACUCGGCAGCUAAAAUGGGUAAGUACUGCCACCAUCGUAUUCAGUGCAUACCAUAGUUAUGUUGUCAUAGCAACUGAUAUAGCAGCUGACGCCAUCUUUGUUUUCACAAAGACUGGCCACAUGGCCUCCUUGCUCUCACAGUGCCGUCCUGACUGCCCAGUUUUCGCCUUCACAACAUCGACGUCCGUCAGGAGGCGGCUAAACCGUCAGUGGGGCCUCAUCCCAUUCCGCCUCAGCUUAGCAACUGAUAUAUUCAAUUGCUUUGCUGUUUCAUCUUCCUAUUAUUGUCCAUUAUCUUGGUUACUGACAGAACAUUUAGAUUCCAUUUUCUUAGAAGCUGUGUCUAAACAAAACCAAUUUCAUCUGCAGCUAACGGCCUGGGAGCUGACGCCGUCUUUGUUUUCACAAAGACUGGCCACAUGGCCUCCUUGCUCUCACGGUGCCGUCCUGACUGCCCAGUUUUCGCCUUCACAACGUCGACGUCCGUCAGGAGGCGGCUAAACCUUCAGUGGGGCCUCAUCCCAUUCCGCCUCAGCUUCUCAGAUGACAUGGAGAGCAACCUGAACCGCACCUUCUCCCUGCUAAAGGCCAGGGGCAUGAUCCAGUCUGGCGACCUGGUGAUCGCCCUCUCUGACAUGCUGCAGUCCAUCCAGGUGAUGAACGUACCCUAAGAAAGAGCCUAAUCCUCUGUGGGAUGAUCAUAUGAGAUGGAAGAUGGACCAUGAACUUUAUCGGCACCUUGAAGGACAGUUCCUUGCACCAAAAUUAUUCGCUUUCACCCUGUAUUAGAUGCUGGGCAGGACUAGAGAACUGUGGCAAUAAUUUGCAGCUUUGUGCCCUGCUGUAAAACUGUUAUAUUACUAUUAGCUUUAUUUAUAGUCUGACCUUGGGGUGACUCUUUAAUGUGCAAGCUUUGGGUCUUGCUGUGGGCCGUAAUGGGCUUAUAAGUGAAGCGCAGGGAGAAGAGGAAGAACCCGCUGAAGAACAUGGCUGCUGUGCUCAAGCUCAACCCCUACCUCGGCACUGCCCGCAAGAUGGCUACCCUCGCUAAGGUUGCCCACAUCAAGGCAAGGAAGGAGAAGCUCGAAUCCAAGAGGACCAAGCUUAGCCCGGUAUGACCAUUUUUCUCCCUCCAUUUCAUUUCUGAUUAUGUCAAUAAUACCUGAAUUGAUCACUUAGAUUGCUCAUGUAGUUCUGGUGUACUGUUUAUGACUUGUAGUGUUUGCUAUGGUACAUUUUCUGCCCCUUGUAUGAAUGGUUUAAUUUGUUUGAUGUAUCAUAAUUUGAGCAAAUUUCAUUGCUUGAAAGUAUUAGUACUGGAGUUCUGUGUGAAUAACAUGAUUCUGCUGUAGUGAUUCUUGUUGGGGUUUAGUUAUGUGCAUUGAUCUAAUGUUGUGCCAACAAAUAUUCUUGUAAUUGCGCGUUUGUGCUGUAUCAGUAUGCAUGGGUAAUCUAGUUUGUCAUUGUUUACUAUUUGCUCAGGGUGUUUCGGUACCCUUAAUUGCUUUUAGUAAGGCAUUUGUCUAUGUUCUGUUCCAUUUCUUUAUAUGCUAGUAGAUAUCUGAGCAAUUGUUUGUUCUACUCUUUUCUUAGAAAUGAUUUAUGGUACUGGAAGCUUCGGUAAUCUUUGCAUAUAUGGCAUAUGACAUGCCCUGGUAACUCAUGGGUCAGGGUUUAUCUUGAAUGUUUUAGUUCGAUCCCUCUUGUUGAUUUGUGUUCUGAAUUGGUAACUUGGGACUAUGCCUUGUUAGAAUGUGAUGAAUAGAUUGAUGUUUUACUAAGCGUUUUGAUUACAGAAUACUAGAAUGAAUGUUAUUACAUUAUCCAUGUUUCGAACUGAAUCCCAAAAUUUACUGAAUCCCUUCACAUCCAUAUAUCUCCUGAAUAUUUGUUUAACUGUAUAGUUUGAUAUGUUUACAUUGUUGUCAAGAUUCUUUGUUGCAUGCCCAUAUAUCUUCUGAACACUACAGAACUGACCAAUAUGUGAACUACUGUUGGUUUAAUGUAUCAGAUGCUGAUUAUUUCGUUCAGCUGUAUGCCCUUUUGUCAACAAACACGUACUGAACAAUAUCUGUAGAUCCAUUGUUGUAGGAGGAGGCUGCCAAGGUCAAGGCUGCUGGAAAGGCAUGGCACAGGACCAUGAUCUCAGACAGCGACUACACCUGAGUUUGAGAACUUCUCAAAGUGGCUCGGCGUGACUCAGUGAGCGGGUGCUAUCUAGUUAAGUUUUGAGUAGUAGUGUGGCUGAACUUAUCUCGAGAGGGUUUAUCGCUUUGUUUUAUCCUGCAUCAUCAUAAGAAUUCAAUCUGUGGGAUUUUAAGACAAGUCUUCCUUUUUGUUAAUGCGUUGCUGUGAAAUCAUUCUAGUAAAUAUUCACCUUGACGAUCUUUUGGAAGGACAGCGACCACAAAAAUUAUGAAUUGGGUAGAUGGAGGAUUUAUGUGCUGUAUUGAGAGAGCCCGUAGGUGCUAGAUUUCUCCGGAAACGUUCGAUUUAAGCUUGUAGAUAUUGUGAUGAAUCCCGUCACCAUUUUCCCAUGAAACAUUCUGAAAGUUCUGGUAGUGGUAUCCACUGCUGCAGUUUUACAAGCAUGUAGGGUUGUUCCUCUGUUUGUUGAUUAGGUAUUAUGUUUUGCACAGUCUUAAAGUUUAGAAGGUAAUUACCCAGGUGUUCAAGUAUACCUUCAAGUUUUUUUUUACACAGUGUACAUAUUACCUUGUUAUAGUGAGAACAGAGAAGUCCACCGCAAAAGUAAAGCCUAGCAUAUAUUGUUCUUGCAAUAGACCAUGUGUGUAUAUGCCCCUUUGUAGGUUGAUUAUUCCAUUCAGAACAUAGCAUGGACCUCUAUAGUGUUUUGGAUAAAUUUUUUUAUUAUAAAGGUACUUGCCGAGGCACCAAUUUGGGAGUCUGCGGGGUAAAAUGUUCCCGGCGUACUUCAUAUUGAUAUCAGUGUGUUCAGCGAUAUCUGUUGCAGCAUUUGCAUACCUGCAUGGAUUCCUUCUUUCGGCCCUUAUCUGUAACCUUUCAAACCUUCUGGUCAUCACACCUAUGAUGGUUGAAGUAAAAUACUUUGUUUGUGGCCUUGAGCUUUUUACUACCUCUCGUUUUGCAUUUGCCAGAUGCUAGUGUGCUAGUUAUACAGAAUAUCACAAAAUUAUAGUUUGAGUAUGUGAUAAUAUCGUUACUAAUGAAUGGAAUCUUACACUUUUUAUAUGCAAUUUUGAGAUUUACUUUGCUGAUGGUAGUAGAGGUAUGUAAAGCAAAAGAAAGUUACUUUUAAAUUAUUAGUUAUAUGGUUAUAUUUUAUAGGUCAGCGAUUUCUGAGUACUAGUCAUAGCAGCGCUCACAGGAAUAUACUGACUUGUUCUUUAUUUUAUUUUCAAGAAUUAAUACAGAUAGCAUAAAGCAGAAUCCAGUCCAUGAAUAGUUAGCGAUCUAGCAUCUGGAGGUGAAAAUCUAGCUUGGUUAGAACUUAGAAGCAUAGUUGUGGAUAAAAUUUGUGGGAAUCUAAUUUGACAAAACAAGUAGACAUGUCUGGCUGCAUAUAUGAACCUUUCAAACUGCAUCUUAUUGUUUCUGAGAUCUGAUUGGUGAUUUUUCCACAUUUGCAUUGUAGCACACAUCACUUGGAUAUUGUUUUAGAGAGCAAACUUGACAAUCGAGAUAUCUUGAUUGCUGAAAUCGAUGCUGACAAUGUUCUGUUAUUUGAGUAGGAUAGGGGUUAUACAUAAAAAAAAUAAGAAGAGAGAAUGUGCCUUGCAGGCUUGUACUUUGGUUGGUUGAGCAUUGCUCUUUGUAGUUUGCGCUUUCAUUUUCACCCGUGCCUAUUGAAUUGCUCUCUUUCACCUAGAUGAUGAUGAAGAGGUACAAGAUAGAAGGACCUCGUGAGGCCGGGUACUCCAAGAAUGAGGAGAUGGCCAAGAGGAACCCUGCCCUGGCGGCAAUCAGUCAGAAGUUCAGGAUGAUCCACGUGCUGUCGUCACUGGCCAGCCCCAUGUCCUUCGGCAGCCUGGCCAUCCACUCCUGAUACCUCCCCAGCAAGCUCGACCCGUGACUGCCUGACCGAGUGUUAGCUGGUGCCUGGUGAGUGGUGACCUACGAACUCUGAACUUAGCCUAGGUUUCUGUGGAGAAAAAAGAAGUCAUGUCUGUGCAAGAACAUUGGUCCUCGGGAUGAUAUGAUUAGCCUUUAAUAAUGUACAUAAUGCAGGAACUUCGUUUCAUUUUGUAAUUUGUCUAUAGGAAAUGUGUCUGGCAAAUUCCUAGAUUUUACAGCCAAGAAAUGCAGCUAAACAUGGUCUCUCGGCUCAUGGAGCUUGGGUAUAAAGAAAUGACUAGGAUCUUCUGCAACUUUUAGAAUGCCUACUAUCUGAAAAAAAAAAUUGGCCAGAGAUGACGAGUUUGGUAUGCAUUCCUGAACACUGGUUUCUCUUGUCUGGUGGUCCAAAACCAUAUGGCGUUCCUUCAUCUAGGCCAAAUCUAUUAUAUUCACUUUCUGAAGAUAAUAUCCAGUGAAGCCAAGCCGAAGUCUAGAAAACAAGUCCACAUUGCAAACUGAAGAAUUUAGCAUAUGGAACUCCAUGCUCUAGUCUUUCAUCCUUCUUCAAGCUGAAGUCCUUGAUUUUGAUCACAAAACAAGUCCCAGACUGCAAGUUGAAGAAUAUAUAGCAUAUUGAUCGAGCUCCAUGCUCCAGCUUUUUAUCCUUAUAUUUUCUUUUGAACUAUGGCGUGUUUGAACUCAGUGUCCGCUCCAGCGUAAGCAAAACACAUACACAGCUAGCACUUUCAUUUCAUGACGUGUUUGUCUACAUUACUGCAGAAGUACUUGCCAUAGAAUAGGUCAACAAUCCAACAUACUACUACUCAUGUUGUUGUUCGACAAGCUGUCUAAGCUGCUGCUUGAAUACGAACUGAAAGUGCUGAACUUUGUCCAUGUUAUGUUGGUAGUAUAUCUAAUACUGAACGGUGUGCAGGGUGAUCCUGCAAGGCUUUUAGAUAGCACGGUCUUGUGCAGAGGUAUUGUCGAGCUCUGUUUCUUCAAAGUUACGUCUGCUCUGUUUCUUCAAAGUUACGUCUUGCAAUUGCAGUAACAUUUCUGCUGGUAAUUCUGUAAUCUCUACUAUAAAAAAAGCAAAGAGGACACAAAAAUGCGGUCCGUCGUUUGGCCGCCGGGCGAUGUCCCUCGCUCCAUUUUGGGCCGUCCGCUUGCAGCAGCCUCCGCGUGCAGCCGUUGACCUGGAGAUUCCGUGAGUUGCGGCCCACACGUUUCCUCCUCUGUCCGUUUCCCUCCUCGCGGAUCCCUUCCUCCUGCAGUCCUGCCCAUGCGUCGCCAUCCGCCGUCGACGCAACUCCCUCAGUCGCGUCGCCUGCCGCCGCCACUCCCUCCGUCGCCGCAACUUCUCCCUCCCUGCAUCGUUAGGCCUGCGUCGCCAUCCGCCGCCGCCCCUCCCUUUCCUCACCUCCGCGCCGCCAGAAACCCCCGCCCCUGCCUGCGUCGCCAUCUGCCACCGCCCCUCCCUUUCCUCGCCUCCGCGCCGCCAGAAGCCACCGCCCCUCCCUUUCCUCGCCUCCGCGCCGCUAGAAGUCACCGCCCCAUCCUGAGUCGCCUCAUCGCCGCAAGCGACUCCGCCCCUCCCUGAGUCGACGGAACACCGACAGUCGAGGCUACGCUGCACGCCAACUAGAUUUCUCAGUUCGUUGGGUUUGAUCACGGUACCUCUCAGUUUCUUAGUUUGUCAUGCAUCUGAACUUUGUGUGACGUUCAUGUUCUUGUCAUUUGAUUUGUUUGGUCGGUGUUCAUGUUCUUAGAAUCUGGUGCUACGUGACAUUAUAGGCGGUGUUGUGUUUUCUGAAUUGUCGGCGACUUGAAAAUUUGAGAUUCAGAUCGUGAUUUGUUUAGGUGGACAAUUAAAAUUUGAUGAUAUGUCCUUCCCGAGAGAGAAACGUAUUACCUGUGGUAAUUGAGGAUGGUAGAGAUAAUUUACUCUGCAUGUAAACUGAGGACUGAGAUUCAAGAGUAAUCAUAGAACACGUAGACCACAUUGACUGGAAAAUUAGUCCUCUCCAAUUUUUGCUGAUCUGUCCCUGAUAGUACAUAAUUAUUUUGCCACUUUUUGUGCAAGCUUAUCGAUGUACGAAUUAAUAAUGGAAAGUAAGGAUUGCGAUAGUAGGGAUUGGGACAUUUGUUAUGCUUAUCGAUGCUUAUGGCAAUGCUUCAUAAAAGUAGUAUACACCGCCGUGCACUUCGAAUUCAUGAUGGACAGUAGGGAUUGUGAUAUGUGAUAUGCUUAAGGCAAUGCUUCAUAAAAAGAGUAUGCACCUCCGAGCACUUCAAGUGUACUCUGAUGCACACACAAGCACACAGUUCUAGAUGGUUAAGCCGGUCUGUGAUUAGCAAGAUUUUCAUGAGAAUGGUAUCAGUUAUCAGACAUUCUGUGAUAUCUUGAAUGGAAAAAUAAAAUCAAAAAGGAAAGCACGAUAAAUAGAUAAUUUUUCUUGAAUUCUCCCAUAUUCAGAAAAUUGACUGACCGAGUGUGGAUAAAUCCUUUUUUUUGUUACUUGGACCUCAGUUGGCCUUUAUAUUACUCUGAAUAUGUAAGAUCUCAAUAAACAGUAAAUUUGAGGAGGAUUUGCUAUCAUCUUUUGAAUCGUUCAUCCCGGUGGCAGAUUUCUUGAUUGCCUUAAUUGGGGCUGCCCCAGUUAAUGAGAACUAAAUAGCUCUCAUGAUGAAAACAAGUGUUAUUCAUAACAGCUACUUGUAGUGAUGGUGUCUGGCAGAGUACCUUGCUUAUCCAGUGCUUUCCUGUGACAUUCCAUUUUGCUUUUCUCUUGAAGGGUGUUUAUGUUCGUCGGGUUGUGCCUACUGCUCCAGCAAGCAGUGUUUUGUGAAAGGUAACAUGUAGUAAUUAGAUCCAGUUCACAUAUUGAAUACCUUUGGUUGUCCUCCAAUUUUUGCUGAUCUAUCCCACAUAAUUUUUCUUCUUUUUUCCACACAAUUUUUCUUCUUCUUGCCACAUAAUUUUUGCGGCUACCAUGUUUGACAAUAAAAAUUGGUAUACAGUCAUCUACAAAAAUCAUCCCCUGGAUACAAAUAGUACAUCCCCCUGGUACAAAUAGUACAUCCCCCUGGUUAGCAAUUUUGCAGAUGUAGAAGUACAGUUCCAUUACCGGUUAACCACUAUCUACGUUCUUAUUUUCACUAGGAGUUACAUUAAAAUAAUUCAUUCAUAUGUUCUGUAUAAAGGAAUAGACAAAAAUGGCACCACUUUGUUUUACCUAUGUACAAAUAACUGUCUGAUUGGAUAUUACAACAACAAACAAGAAGAGGCGCUUCAUGAUCAUUUGAUUUAGAACUACAACCUAAAAAAUAAAUGGUCUGUCCAGUUAUUAAUAUUCUGGUUUCAUACUGCAACAUAGAAAAGUGAUUAAAACAAGCCCAAGUAAUCUGUCCUGCUGCACUUUCUUAUCUAUAAUCCUGAUGCCAAUUUGUUUCAUGUGCCUGGAAGUGAUGGGAGAAGGUGCAGGAGAAGGAUUUAGAAGUUCUUAAUUUGCAGGUGCAAUUUUUUUAUGUGACGCAUCUAUGUGACGCUUGACUUAUCUUAUUUCCAAAAUCAAACACUUCAUACUCGUGCUAAUGAUUAGAACCUGAUGAUUGGGAAGCUGAUGAGGAUGUCGAUCUCGAGACGGCUAAUGAAGAUUCCAACGAACCCGAUGUACCGGAUCCAAACGAUGCGGUUUAUGCUAAUGUCCCUGACGAGACGCACAUGCUCAAGCUAGAGGAUAACUGCAAGCACUGCAAUGCAAAGAAGUUUGAGUCCGAGCCACCUGAAUUCUGUUGUCAUAGACACCACCGGAACUCGUGAGACUGUGGUUGAGCUCGGACGCUGAUGCUAGGCAUUUCCGUGCAAACAUCAGAUAUUUCAAUGAACACUUCUCUUUCACUUCUCUAUACUGUAAACUUGAUCGUGUGACCACCGACAUGACAAACUGUGGAAUUUACACAUUUCAUGCCCAUGACCAAAUCUACCAUAACAUAUGAUCAUUUGGUAAAGAGGAUGGUCACGAACCUGGACACCUCGAGCUUUAUUUUUACGACGACGAUCUGUCUCUUCAGCAUAGGCUCCGCAAGUGCCGUGAGAAGUCUGCCCAAGAAGAUAGGAGGUCAUCUAGAGGCUAAAGGACAUCUUACAUGGCAUUAAUCCCUGCUUAGAGAAUCUUAGGAGUAUAGGCCAGGUUGACAACCUUGAGGAUUACUAUGUCGAGUUGAACCUUGACCAACGGCUAGACCAGAGAACAUAUAAUGUGCCAUUAACGUCGUUGCUGCCGUUUGGAUUGAGGGGAGCGAGCCUCGGGGCCAGUUCGAUAAUAGUGUUGUCCUCCAAGGGAAGGAUAGGUCGAUCCAUGGUAUUCGGCCCUAUCGUGUGUGCUACGAUGCUCUCUCAUACCCGCUAUUCUUUCCAAGAGGUGAGCUCGGGUGGCACAAUUGCAUUCCAAAAGUUGGUGUGACUGAGGUUGAAGUAAAUAAAGCUCGAGCGAUCCGCAAGGCGCGUGCUGAUGGUGGUGGCGACAAUGAUGCUGGUAAAUUCAUAUGUCUUUAUAGUGUCUUACAAACAUUAGACAAAUUUUCCGCAUGUCGUCAAUCACGGCCGCCUUUUUUUGGUUCGUCGUUUGGCUUCGUUUGUCUGCCUCGCCGCUCAGUUUUUCUCAAGAACAGUCCGUCUCCCCGCCCACGUUCGCCGACAGACGCACCUCACCUCCUCCGUGCUGCACCCGGCCGCACCUCCUCCAUCCGCCCUCCGCCACUUAGCCAAGCCGUGCCUCACCUCCUCUGUCCUCCGAGCGCGGAACCACGCCCGCGCUUUCCCCGCCCGGCCGCACCUCCUACCUGCUACGCUCGGCCGCAGCUCCUCUGUCCGCCGCCAAGACGGGCCACCUCCGUCCGCUGGGCGUCCAACACCGGCGCGCCACUGCCCAGCUGCCCCUCCACACCCCUCCACACCGGCGCCAUCCCCGGCUGCUCCUCCAUGAAGGGAUCUCCAAAUUAGUCCCAUAUGCAGCGGAGGUGAGAAGAUGGAGGCACGAGAGGUGGGGCCUAUCUCGAGCCCGGUGUCAUCUGCCUUCAUGAAGGGAUCUCCAGGUUAGUCCCUUAUGCAUGCAAACAAAUCUAAUCAGCAGCCUCUCCUUUGCACCAACGAACAGAUCCAAUUGUUCUUGAAAAUCAGGUCCAAGUUCACAUCUCUUUUGCCCUCCCACUCAAAGCACAAUCAGCCAGCGCGACAGGGAUGGCGACACAGACACCGACGGCUGGAGCUCCCUCAAUGCUGCCAGGUAAUUGACUAGCCAAUUACUAUUUGGAUGUGAUGCACAUUGGUCACGGAUUUGUAAAUCUAUCAGUUCCUGCUUCCUGCAUCCAUUUGUGCAGUUCUUGUGGUGGAUGCAGUGCACUGAGUAUAGAAAUUAUUUUUGAUUACUUCUGUGAAACGUUUUGGCCUUGGCAAGUAUGUACAGAUUUAGUUGUUGUUUUUUCAGUCAGAGGUGAGCUACGUGUAUGGGAAAGAAAAACUUGAUUGCUUGUUCUAGAUCUUGCCUUCAUAUAAACUGUGAUGCUAUCAACAUGGAGAUUUGAUGCAUUCUACUCUCUCUCUAUUUAACAUGGAAAAGAACUCGUGUUUACUCAAUAAUGCUUAUGAAUUUUCCUUAGAGUUGCAUUUAUUCAUCAUUCUAAAGUAUUCCGUGUCAAGUAAACUCAUACUUCUAAUUUUUCAAAAAAAAAAUCUGAAAUCAAUGAACCCCUCCUUCCUUGUGAAAUUGUUGUACCUUUUUUCUUAUGACAUCUUAUCUACUUCCACUUUCCUGGUGCAGAAUUUUUGAAAGUAGGAAACGUAAGCAAUGACAGUGACAGUCGCAGCAAUACUGAGCUCAAUAGGUGAACUAGACAAACCAUUCUGCUGUAGUUCAUUUUAUCACUGCAGUCAUCGUCAGACAAUGAGGUCAGAACCAGCAGGUUCGCAGAGUGACUUGUGACUUGUGGAUAAUCCUGCAGAUUCAACAAUGGUAAAGUAACGAAUGGUUAAGGUAUAAGUAGAUUUACUCAAUUAUACUCCAAUAGCUAAUGCAUUGCAUAUAUUGCUUGGCCGUGUAUAUAAAUAUUACAUCACUGUUCAACAUAAGUAAAUAGCUUAGUCCUUCUUAAGUCCAUUUUGGUAAAAGCUAUAGUUCAAUUAGUUUUCUUGAUUUUCUUAAAAUUUUACUCAAAGUUUGUGCCUUAUGUUGUACAUUUGCCUCACGGGCUGGCUAACUGACCUACAUGAGGCUGGCCAACUGAUCUGGAGGUUCACUAUCUAUGUUCUUUCAUUUCAUUGUCAAACAUAGAUAUUCUAAAUCUGAAAGUCUGUCGAAAUUUCCUAUGGAGUCUUGUGGUACCUUUAGUGUUUCUUAUCAUGUCCAGUAGAAGGUCUUGGAAAACAUAUUUGCAAUACAUGAUAUUUUUUAAAUCAAAAGUAGUAAUAUGCUGUGUAAUUGCCUUCUUGCCUCCUGACAUGUGGCAAAUUCAUUGAGCGUUUUCACUUACAUCGCUGGCAUAUUCAGUGAACAACGCAAAGAUGAUGGUUUUGAGUGAGAGGUCCUUUGGUCAAGGUAAUUUCAGAGCAUUGAUUUUCAAUGUACUUGUAAACCCAAGAGAAAGUUGAGCAGGCCACAUUCAGUUGUUAACUGGACUGUUGGCUUGCUGCUAUGGCAACAUGUUUUCAGCCUUAUUAUUACUUGCCGAGUUUACAUUGGGAUCUGAAAACUGGACUGUGUGCCAUUAGUUUUGUCUGUCUCCAGGACAUUGCCCAUGCACAUGAACUGACUGAUUACCAUGAAAAUUCACCUGUUUCAGUUCCAAACUAAUUAUUGCUUCAAGGUCACAAAGCUAUAUGAAAAUCUGUAUCCAAUUGAAUGCCGGAACUCUCUAGGAUGAUGUCAGGCAUUCCCAUUUAUAGGUUAACCUGAAGUGAUUCUUGAAGAUUAGUUUCUGCGUGGUUGAUUUGAAUUGUUUGUAAUAUUGUAUGCUUCAUCUUGAUUACUAUCAAUUUCACAGGUCAUGUUCAUUGUGAGGAAUGGAGCGCAAUAAUGCUUUGUGGUAACUCUGGGCAGACGAAAAUAGGCCACCUCUACCAUUUUCUUGAUAUUUAUUUUCUGAUAUCUGACUAUUGUAUUUGUCGUGAAAUUUAAAUUGUAGACGCUAUCAGAUCAUGUGUCACUUCAUGCUUUGAUCAUGUGAAAAAAUUCAGUGUAUUUACCCAUGAUCGGUGCCUUGCCCCGAGGGGUCUUUAAUUCCUGGAGGGGUCUUUAAUUCCUGAAUUAGGCAACGGUGAAUUUUCUUCUUAAUAUAUAGAUGCGCAGCUCUCCCGCAUGUUCGAGAAAAAUGAGGCAACAGUGACACAGCGCUGGUAGAAAGUAGAAAGUGAAGAAGCGGUUUGAGCAUAUUGCUACUGACAGCUACCUCCGCAAGAUUUGGCCGGUACUGCAAGCUCUGAGUUUCACAACUCUGAACCACUUGGUAAAAAACAGUCUGAAUUUUGUGUUGUGAUUAACUGACUAGACAUCCGAAUAAAUUAAUGUACUGAUAUUCUGAAAUUUGUUUUAGCACUGGGACUCUCUGGACUAUCCGGUGGAAUCAGGCCUUGGCAGGACUGAGGCAGAUGUGGGGGGUGACACCGUGCAGGUGAGGUGGUGGUGGUAUCUGGCUCUGGCAUCUCCCUUUAUCCGCUUGAUGGAAUGGCAGCAUGGGUAUGGAGACACCUUCAGCAUCUAAACAAAGCCCAAAAGGUACAAAGAUACUAUUUAAUCACUUUUGAUUUGUUAAUUUGCUAUCAUAUAAAUUGCAGUAACAGGUCUUGAGUAAUAUGUCAAUGCUAUAAUUUUGCUUGCUUGUUGUGUGUCCUCUCUAAAAUCUUUUCUUUACCAUAUAUAUCCAUAUGCACAAGAUAUUUGCAGUUACAAGUAUAAUCCUCAAGGAGUGAAAAGCUUGUGAUUCUGUCCGUGCAGGCAACAGGCAUUGAUCGCUAAUCAGCAUGGCCUCCACAAGUACCCAUCAUGGGAAGUGCAGCAACCAGUAUUGUGUUCAAACCUGAAGAAAAUAUAUGGGGAUGGCUGGGUGGCUGCACAGCUCAUGGCAGGGACCAAUUUGGAGUCUGCAUCUUCUUUCCCAUAUAUAUAUGAUAUUUCCAUAUACUGUCAGGAUGCUAUUAAACUGCCUUCACCAGAUUACAAUAAACUGUGAACUUCAGAACUUUAAUUUUCGAUAAGUUGGAGUCGACGCUUAAAACUUCAGAGCUUUAUUUACUCCUAUGUACCAACAGCUCUAAAUUUUUGUGCACUGCACCCUUAGUUUUUUAGUGAACAAUACUGAUUGCUGAGGUUAUAAUGCAUCUUUCUAUGUGGGACUAUAGUUUUGUCAAGUAAGGCUAUGUACACAUUGAUAAAUCUGCUUCAGAAUAAUAUUGCUAAUAUCUCACUAUCUGAAGAAAGUCAGGUUUAUCAGUUAUUUAUAGAAGACUUGCUUGUUAGAAAGGACCUAAAUAGGUUUUCUUUGUCUAUGUGAAUUUUCGGGGAAUUCUGCUUAUCUUCCACGGAUAGAUGCUACUUCUCCUGUAAUAUUGAAUUGGGUCAUGUGUGUGUCAGCUCUUUGCUUGCCAAAGGAGCUUGUGACUUGCAACUACUACUACUUAUUCAAUGAUCUCUAAUAAUUGAAUCAUUUUGUUCAGAUUCUAAUUAUCAGGUCUUUUCCUCAUCUCUUUAUGUUUUGAGGUGUUGGAUGAGAAAGGGUUAAUGGUGGUUGCUACCAUUCUACAAGAAAUUAGAGAUUGUCAUUAUGAGUGCUGUAGUUGAAGUGGGGUUAAUGUUAAACCAUGAUGGUACCAAGGAGACUUCAUCCAUUUGAAUAUUCUACACUCAAGAAACAGAAAGGUGACAGUUGUCAAAUACAUAUUAUGAACUAGCUGAAAUUAAAAUAUUCUUGUAUUCCUUAGAUUAUUUGUGUCAUGCAAACUCCACUUUAGAAAAUUCCAUUCUAAAUUGCUGUGUGAGAUUAUGUACCAUUCUAAUAUGAUCUCAUGGGGGAAUUAUUUAGCCCAUAGCAACGCACGGGCACGAUCCUAGUGGAAUUGAAAAGAAUAGAGAUCGCGUAUGACAAGAGUACUCUAGGUAAUAUUUCUUCAAAUACCGAUUCAGCUCCCUCAUUUUCACUUCAAUAUUUUCACCAAUGGUAUAGAAAUAGAACUUGAUGAAUUCCACGUCUCAUCGAGCAAAACAUCUCGAAUUGCUAGCAACAUCUUCAAGAAAAGGUGGGCUGUAGGAUGCCUGUUUGCGGAGAAUGCUUUGGUUGCCUCACUUAAAGCAUCACGAAUGUCCUUUACUGCUUUGUUAUUCACACUAGCAUUGUCUAAUGUCAAGGUAAACAGCUGUUCAAUCAACUCCCACUUCAUCAACCACAACUUCUUGUCCUAGAUCCAUAUCACCUAGAUGACACAACUUCUUAGCCUUCGGCCUAGUAUCUUCCAAGUGAACAAAAGAGCCUGGAAUGUGAAUAAGAUCAACAAAUUUGAAUAAAAUACCAACUUGUUUUGGUUUUACUGACUGCUUGUAUUUUUAGUACUACAAUGAGUAGGUUUGAAGAAAAUAUGAUUCUGUAUAUGAUGCAGUUGUUUUGGCUCACAGCUAACUGUAUUUUGUUCCCAUGAUAAAAAAAUUCUGAUCAGAAAUCUUGUUUUUUCACUUCAGAUUAGAAGUAAUGUAAGAUGUCAGAUUAAUGGACGAUGAGGAGCAUAAGUUUUAGGCUUCGAGGACACAGUGCCCCUCCAAUUGCAUACUGAUACUGCUAAAACGAAAGGGGACUGAGGUGACUGGGAUAUCAUCAGUAUCAGAUAUACUAGCAGCUAUGUUCAUGAGCUUCUAUGUGGUGAAACAAGCUGGAGAUGACUAAGGUAUAGGAGCUUUUUUUCACAGAACAGUAGGACCAUUUUCACGAGAUUCAACUGCCUGAUCUUAACUGAAUGGUAAACAUAAGCAAUACCAGUAUGCAACCAACAAAAGAUCUUGCACUCCCAUCUUACAUUCUCUAAAACAGUAACAAUUCUAAGUUCACAGAUCUAGUGGUACUAAAAAGCUCAAUGAACGAAUUUAAUUUGCCAAUGCCAUCCUCCUGCUCUACAAAACCCAAAAACUCAAGCAGAUUGAAGCUGCAAAGGAGAGUUUAAAAAUAGCCAACACUAGCAGAAUACUGCACGAACUAGGCACAGCGCAGUAUAAACAAAAAGACAAAUAGGAAAGGCAAACACAUCAGAUGAAAAUCACCUGCACGCCGACGCCACCUGCGUCCGCUGCUGAGGCCGCCUGCUCUUGCUGGCCGCCGCGCGUCGGCCUAGCCGCACGCCCUGCCGGAGCCCGCCGGGGGCCGGCCCCACGGGAGCGCCUCGCACCCCCGCACCGCCCGGAUCUUGAGUUCUUGCGCCGCCGCCGCCGCCGCACGAGCCUGGAGAGGCCGCGAAAAAGAGGAGAGCCCCUUUCCUGCGAUCCACGGGCUCAGCCCUUCCAAUUGACUCAAGGAUCGAUUAUGGGCCACGUUCACAGGUCAGCCCUUUUAUGGAGAUGGCCCGAUCUGAUCCUGCCCAUUCUUCGGGAAGGCCUUUUAAGGCUCGGCCUAUAUGAGCUUGUAAGGCCCGAUCGGUUUGGCCCUUGGAUUUUCCAGGCUUAAGUAUAGGUAUAAGGUUUUCUACGUAUCUAAAAUAUUUUCCACUAGAAAAGGUUUUCUACGUAUGUAAAAUAUUUCCACUUGACUACCCGAUAAGGCAAUCAUUCGUGUGGCACAUGCCCGGGGCCUACUCGGAAAGUGAGUGCGCAUCCUCUCACAUGAUUGGACACAUCCACUUGACUCCUCAAAGGUCGUCAAUGCUUGCAGCUUGCAUUUUCCACAGAAGCAGCAGCUCUUGAACCCACUGUCCAGCAUCUCCCUCUCCACCCACCAACACUGUGUUUCCCUGUCUACUGCGCGUGUGUUUUGGAGCUCCCGGCGUAGCCAUGGCUGAGGUACUGGCCACCAUGGUGGUCGGGCCACUGGUGUCCAUGGUGAAGGAGAAGGCCUCCAGCUACCUCCUGGACCAGUACCAGGUGAUGGAGGGCAUGGAGGAGCAGCACAAGCUCCUGAAGCGCAAGCUGCCGGCCAUCCUCGAUGUCAUCGCCGAUGCCGAGCAGCAGGCGGCGAAACACAGAGAAGGGGCCAAAGCUUGGCUGGAGGAGGUCCGGACGGUGGCCUACAAGGCGAAUGAUGUCCUCGACGAGUUCAAGUACGAGGCGCUUCGCCGCAAAGCCAAGGUGGAGGGCCACUACAAGGCGCUCGGCAUGGAUGUAAUAAAGCUCUUCCCUUCUCACAACCGUGUUGUGUUCCGUUAUAAGAUGGCAAAAAGGCUCUGCAUGAUCUUGCAAGAAAUUGAUGUCCUCAUCGCAGAGAUGAAUGCGUUCAGGUUCAAAUUCAAACCGCAGCCGCAAAUGCCCAUGCAAUGGAGGCAGACGGAUGCUUGCAUCCCCACUGAGUCUGUGGAGAUUGCCAGCAAAUCAAGAGCUCAAGAGACGAAGGUUCUUGUUGAUCGAUUGCUUGCUGGAGCCAGCAGUAAGGAUCUCAUGGUCCUUCCGAUAGUCGGAAUGGGGGGGUUGGGCAAGACCACCUUAGCACAGCUCGUUUACAAUGACCCUGAAAUUCAGAAGCAUUUCGAGUUGCGGCUCUGGGUGUGUGUCUCUGAGGAUUUUGAUGUGGAUUCCCUGGCUAACAGAAUAGUGAAAGAGAAUGGUUGUAAAGCAAGUGAAAGUUCAUCAGCACUGGACAAUCUUCAAAAGGCAGUGAGUGGGAAGAGGUACCUCCUCGUAUUGGAUGAUGUGUGGAACCGUGAUGAGCCCAGCAAGUGGGAAAGGCUCAAGUCCUACCUUCAGCAUGGUGGCAGCGGUAGCUCAGUGCUGACAACAACUCGCGAUGAAGCUGUUGCUAAACUAAUGAUGGGUACAACUGAAAGAGCCUAUAAACUUGGAAGCUUGGAUGAAGAGUCCAUAGGGAAAAUUAUCAAGGCAAGAGCAUUCGGUUCAAAACAAGAAAAGGAAUGGCCUGGUGAGCUAGUUCACAUGGUUGGUGAAGUUGCCAAGAGAUGUGCUGGUUCUCCUUUAGCUGCUACAGCAUUGGGCUCUUUACUGAGUACCAAGACCAGCAAGCAAGAAUGGAAGGAUGUACUAAAUGGAAGCACGAUUUGUGAUGAGGAAAAUGGGAUUUUACCAGUACUUAAACUAAGUUACAAUUGCUUGCCAUCAUACAUGCGGCAAUGCUUUGCUUUCUGUGCUAUGUUUCCCAAGGAUUAUGAGAUUGACGUGCAAAUGCUAAUCCACUUGUGGAUGACCAAUGGUUUUAUCCCAGAGCAAUCAAAAGUGUGUCCUGAAACUUUUGGAAAAGGAAUUUUCAUUGAGCUGAAGUCAAGGUCAUUUUUUCAGGAUUUGAAGAAUGUCCCAUUUUACGAAAAUGGAUAUUCUAUUCAUGGAGAGGGUGAUGAGCACAGGUAUUGUUCUAGAAUUACUUGUAAGAUCCAUGACCUUAUGCAUGAUGUUGCACAGUCUGCUAUGGGAGAAGAAUGUGCUGCAAUAGCUACACACCCAAGUGAAAGAGAGGAUGUUCUUCGUUCAGCUCGUCACUUGUAUUUGUCAAUCCGUCGAUCAGAAACUCUUCUGAGUGCUUCCCAAGAGAAAGGAUCUCCAGCUUUCCAAACACUGAUUUGUGACGGAUAUGUAGGAGAUUUGAAGAUUUUAUCAAAAUACAAUUCUAUAAGAGCUUUAAAGAUCCGUUGUGGUUCAAUCCUAAGGCCGAAAUAUCUUCAUCACCUGAGGUAUCUUGAUCUCUCGAGAAGUGAUAUUGAAGCACUUCCUGAAGACAUUAGCAUCCUAUAUCAUCUGCAAACACUGAACCUUUCUUACUGUGACUGGCUUGAACGGCUUCCAAAGCAACUGAAGUAUUUGACUGGCCUCCGUCACCUCUACACUCACGGAUGUGAAAAGUUGAAAAGCAUGCCUGCAGAGCUCGGACGCCUGACUUCCCUACAGGCGCUUACAUACUUUGUAGCAGGUACCGAUGACUCCGGUUGCAGUAAUUUGGGAGAGCUGCAGAAUUUGGACCUUGGUGGUACACUGGAGCUAGGAAAUCUAAAAAAUGUGACAGGAGCAGAUGCACAAGCAGCAGGUCUUGGAAACAAGAAAAAACUGACCCAACUGGAGUUAUGUUGGACUGAUAGUGACCAGGAAGCACAGAAUAAUAAUCAUAAAGAGGUGGUGGAAGGUCUCAAACCUCAUGAUGGGUUAAAGGCUCUGAGGAUAAAUCACUACGGGAGCACAACUUUUCCAACGUGGAUGAAUACUUUGAAAGGCAUGGUGGAGCUCACAUUAUUCCGUUGCAAAAAGCUCGAAGAGCUUCCUGCACUCUGGGAGCUAUCAGCUCUGCAAAUUCUUCACCUGAAGGGUUUGGAGAGUUUACAUUGUUUGUGCAGCGGUGGUACUACACCCAUCACAUUUCCAAAACUGAAUGUACUUAUCUUGUUAGAAAUGGCAAAAUUUGAGGCAUGGCGGGAGGCACAUGAGGUACAAGGAGAAGAGCCGAUAUUUCCCAAGGUUGAGGAGCUGGUGAUUAAGGAGUGUACAAGUUUGACUGCAUUACCAAAAGCAGCGUCGGUGAUUACAGAAUUGUCUGGCAGAGUUGACACUAAGUGCCGCUCUGCAUUUCCAGCAUUGAGGAAAAUGAAGCUAUAUAAGUUGACUGUGUUUGAAAGAUGGGAGGCAGGCGAAGGAAUUUCAGGCGAAGAGGUAACCUUUCCUCAGCUUGAGGAGCUGUCAAUCGAGUAUUGUGGCAGCCUGAGUGCACUACCAAAAGGGCCAUUUGGCGGAGCUGAAACUGUGUGUUGCUGCUCCGCAUUUCCAGCACUGAGGAAACUAGAGUUAUCUGGUUUGUUGGCCCUUGAGAGGUGGGGGGCAGCCGAAGGAACUCCAGGAGAAGAGGUAACAUUUCCUCUGCUGGAGAACUUGAGUAUCCAUGAUUGCCCGAGGUUGACUGAUCUACCUGAAGCACCGAAGCUAAGUGAAUUAUCCAUAAGUAAAGGACAUGGUCAACAACAAAUAUCCCUAGAGGCAGCUAGCAGAUGCAUCCCUUCAUUGUCCCGUCUGACUCUGACCGUGUCACCCGAUGACACAGAAACAACAUUGCUGCAUGUCAAGAAUAAAUUGAAUGGUACACUCGCCUUGGCAGCUAUGCGGUUAGGUCGGUGCGACAUUUUUUUCUCCUCCAGCUCAAGCGCACUGGCGCUAUGGACAUGUUUUGCACAGUUAGUAGAUUUGGAUAUUUGGGAUUGCGAUGCUCUUGUCUACUGGCCAGAAAACGUGUUCCAGGUCCUGGUAUGCCUGAGGAAGUUAGCGAUUUCCAGAUGCAGCAAACUGACAGGACGCACACAAGCUUCUGAUGAGCAAUCUGCUCCAGCUCCAGAACGUGGUGGACUCCUGCCAUGCCUGGAGUCUCUAGGGAUAGUAGAUUGUGAAUCUUUGGUAGAGGUCCCCAUCCCGGCAUCUCUCAAGAAAUUACGUAUUUGGGGCUGCAGUAGUAAUGUCGGGUCCAUCGUAUUUGGUCACCCGGAGGAUACGAGAUUGGUGAGUGGAGAAGGUGUUGUACGGCCGAAUACGUCAUCAUUAAUUCCAGGGUCCAGCAGCAGUGAGGCCACAGCGUCUACAGCUGUACUGAAGCUGUCAUCUGCAGCCAACCAUCGCUUCCUUCCAUUUCAAUGCCUAGAAUUUCUAGGUAUAGCGUGUUGCAGUGGCUUGUCAGAGGUUGCCAAUCUUCCUCCGUCUAUCAAGACCUUGCGCAUUUGUGGCUGCGGCAAGUUUCAAUCCCUAUCAGGAGACCUCCGGUUGCUGGAAGAACUCAAGCUUUAUCAUUGCGAAAGACUGGUAUCCUUACCGGAUGGGCCUCAAGCAUACUCAUCUCUUAGAGUUCUUCGGAUUGAAAAUUGUGAUGGUAUAAAGUUGCUUCCGCCAAGCCUACAGAGCCGUUUGGGCUACCUCGAGGAGAAAGAUCUAGAUGCCCGUUACGAAGGUAAUCUCCAGUUUCUUUGUUUCUUUUAACAAAAUGAUCAAGAGCUCAAUUGUUGUUACCUAAAAUGCAACUCUGUGCUUAAACAUUCUGUUAGCUAUUACAAGAUGUGGUAGGAUUUAGUGGUAAGAAGUUUAUGAGUAUUACUCUGUGUUAAACAUUCUGUUAGCUAUCUAGCCAAGCCGUUCAUGAUGUAUACAUUAUAUUGACUAUUGAGUACAAUGCACCACUAAUAUUUAUGUGCAUGUGUGUCAUCGAAAUACAUUAACUUCGUGUAUUAUUGCCAUUCGGGGUAUCUAAACACGUACAACCAGAUCAAGAACCGCAGUCAUCCUUGUAUUUAUAGCUAUAAGAUGAUCUUUGUUGUUCACUUUUGAUACCUUGGUUGUAAACUUGUAAUUGCUAACUCGAAUCAUGUAAUAAAAUCAAUCAUCUUCCUUUAGUUGUAUUUAAAGCAGCAUGGCAUCAUGGAAUUAUUGCAGCCGAAUUCACUAGCUCCAAUUAAAGUGGCACUUGUCCUAGCGUUUCUCUGCAAAUUCACUAGCUCCAUUGCAUACAGUUCAAGUAUGUGUAGUUUUCUUUUCAUGGCUUAUGCCUUUUGACAUAAAUAAUAAUUUUCCUUUCCUUUGAAACAUUUACUAUUGGGUACCACAGCAUAUUCUCCUGUGUAUAUAUAUACUUUCUAACUUUGUGUUGAUUUGCAUGCAUAAAUUCUAACAUCAUCUGUGAUCAUGGCUAUAAGAUGAUCUUUGUUGUUCACUUUUGAUACCUUGGUUGUAAACUUGUAAUUGCUAACUCGAAUCAUGUAAUAAAAUCAAUCAUCUUCCUUUAGUUGUAUUUAAAGCAGCAUGGCAUCAUGGAAUUAUUGCAGCCGAAUUCACUAGCUUCAAUUAAAGUGGCACUUGUCCUAGCGUUCCUCUGGAAAUUCAUGAUCACUAGCUCCGUUGUAUGCAGUUCAAGUAUGUGUAGUUUUCUUUUCAUGGCUUAUGCCUUUUGACAUAAAUAAUAAUUUUCCUUUGAAACAUUUACUAUUGGGUGCCACAGCAUAUUCUCCUGUGUAUAUAUAUACUUUCUAACUUUGUGUUGAUUUGCAUGCAUAAAUUCUAACAUCAUGGCCUGAUUGCCAGAAUUGCCAGAACCAACCUGGAAACGUUCAAUCAGGAAGCUGGUGUGCUCGAAAUAGUAGAUCAAGGCCUGACCAAAGAAAAUUAUCUCCAAGGUAUUUUUGCAAAGAUAUCACCAAGGUUUGUAAUAUUAGUGUUCUUGAUGAUUGAUUGGAAAUGAUGCUAGCUCCUAAUGCUGACUUCCUAUGCGCUGUGACUUCCUUGUAGGAUGGUGCCAGACCUGCAAAAGAUGGAUUAUUGUGACUCUUGUUUAGAAUGUAUCAUAUGGGCAUUCUGAAGAUAUUCUCCAGUAAAGUCAAGGCAAAGUUCUAGAUUUUGAGCAGAAAACAAGUCCUAGAUUGCAAGCUGAAGAAUUUAGCACACAGAGCUGCGUGCUCCAGUCUUUUAUCCUUCUUCAAACCGAAGACCUUUAUUUUGAGCAGAAACGAAGUCCCAGACUGCAAGCAGAAGAAUUUAGCAUACAGAGCUGCGGGCUCCAGUCUUUUAUCCUUUUUUUUUUCUUUUGAGCCAUGACUUGUUUGCAUUCGUGUCUGCUUCAGCCUCCAGCACAAGCGAAACACAGGCAGCACUUUCAUUUUAUGAUUUGUCUAUCCACAUACAUGACCGACUGCCAUAGAGUAGACCAACAGUCCAACGUACUCAUGUUGUUGCUCGACAAGCUGUCCAAGCUGCUGCUUGAUAUGAACUGAAAGUGCUGAACUUUGUCCAUGUUAUGUUGGUAGUAUAUCUAAUACUGAACUUCAGAGUAGAACAACAGUCCAACGUGCUCAUGUUGUUGCUCGACAAGCAGUCCAAGCUGCUGCUUGAUAUGAACUGAAAGUGCUGAAUUUUCUCCCGUGUAUGUUCUGUGUUACUGUGUAUCAAAUACUGAAUGGUGUGCAGGGUGAUCCUGCAUCCUGGAAUGGCACGGUCUUGUGCAGAGGUCUCAUUGUUGUUGACCUGUUUCUUCAAAACUGCAUGUGCAGCAACAUUUUCUCCUGGCAGUGCUGCAAUGGAAUUGAAAAGAAUGGUGAUUGUUAUAGUAUAAUUGUCAUAUAUAGGCUGGGACACAAAACAAUGGAUGUACAUGAGCAAGGAAGAAGCUCUGGAUGCAGGGGAUGGAACAGAACAGAGACACGGACUCUGUCAACAGCGAUGCUCCCCAAGCGAGCAGAGGCAGAGCAGCGAAGCCCGCCUCGCAAUCUCCGCUACCCCCAUCGAAGUUGCCACACGCCACCGCAUCUCCCUCCACUCCGCUCCCACUCCCCCGCCACCGCCAUGGCCGCCGCCGCCGCAGCGCCCUCCCUCCUGCACCCACCGGCGGCCCGCAAGGCCCCCACACCUUCUCCCUCUCCUUACCCUUCCCCAUUCCUCCGCCUCCCGGCCCCCGCGCACCCGCGCCUCCCGCUCCGCCUCCGCUCCACCUCCCCGGCCGCCGCCUCCGACCUCACCGACUUCCCCAACCCGAACGGCAUCCUCGCGCCCAUCGACGUGGACGCCGCCACGGAGGCGGAGCUUCGCGAGAACGGGUUCCGGAGCACGCGCCGCACCAAGCUCGUCUGCACCGUGGGCCCGGUCACCUCGUCGCCCGAGCAGCUCGAGGCGCUCGCCGUCGGCGGGAUGAACGUCGCCCGCCUAAACAUGUGCCACGGGGACCGGGAGUGGCACCGGGGCGCCAUCCGGGCAGUCAGGAGGCUAAACGAGGAGAAGGGCUACGCCGUCGCCGUCAUGAUGGACACCGAGGGCAGCGAGAUCCACAUGGGGGACCUCGGCGGCGCCUCAUCGGCCAAGGCGGAGGUGAGGUGCUGUGCUUGUAUGUAAGCUGCUGUCCAGUUUUGGACUUGGCGUUGCAGUUUUCAGUUUUCAGAUUGAACGUAUUCCGUGAAAUGUGCUUGUGCAAUGUGGCAAUGUGGAUGAGAGGGGUGGUGGCAGUGGCAGUGUCAGGCAUUGCCGUUUCAUACUUCUGCAAAACCUAGCGAGUCAGGAUUUCACCAAAAUGUUUUUUUUCCAUCUUCGAAAUGGCUCAGUUGAUUUAGAUUUUCAGCUCAUGUUUGAAAUUGUUAUAGAAGGAAAAACAUUCAGAAUUUCAGAUUGUCAUCAAACACUGGAUUGUGAAAGUGGUAAUCAUUUUCAAGGCUUUCAAUCUUUCAAAAAAAUUUCAAGGCUUUCAGUAUCAGUGCAACUCAAAUAAAGUGCAUGGUAAACAUCACCAUGUUUUGGCUUUCUCUGCAUAUAAGACACGGUGCUGGAGUGGUUCGACGGCGCUGAGGUCCCAAUCCAACCAGUCAGGUUUUUUCAAGGUGUCGAGUUUGAGUGCUUACCUGCGUUGGCCCCAUUCCAACCGGGCGAGUCUUUAUUUAUUUUUCGUUUCUUUUCUUUUUUUGCCUAUGGCCUCCCAGGACCGUAGUCUUGUAUUUUCUAUUAUAUCAAUAGAAACUCGCACUAUCUUGUGCGGUUCGUUCAAAAAAAAGUGAUAGGCAUUGAGCUUCUGAAGGUCGUUGUCUAGAUAUUAGGCCCAAGCCUCAAUGGCUUUUUUUUCCCUGUUGCAAACCUUCCUGUAAGUAAAGGGCACACCAGUGCGAAAGCUCCCACACAAGGUGGGGUCUGGGGAAGGGAAUUCCUAGAUAGCCUUACCCUUGCAAAAUUCUUUUAAAUUUUUGCAAAGAGGUUGGUUCGAACCCAGGACCUCCGGGCCACAAGUGGAGAGUUUUACCACUGUGCCAGGUCCGCCCUUCUAGCAGAAUCUCUUAUGCUAGGUUUAAUUUGAAUUAGCUUUAUUAGUAGAAUGCUUGGCCCAUUUAUUGGUAAAUGGUAAAAUUCAUAAAGAUUAUCCUCAUUCCCUUAAUCAAUUUUAGGUGUUUAACUUGCAGCAAAUUCGAACAAUGACAGACAUGCAGCAUAUUGUUAGUUCAUCUGUAAGACUUGGCUUGCUGGUUUAAUGCUUUGUUAAAGGUUUGAAGUUAAUGUGUCUACUGGUAGCUAUUGAAUCUCUUUAUAGUUUAUUUAUAUCUUUUUUCUUUAUUAGUAUAAAGCCAUGUAGAAGUUUUCAGAAUACUGAAAUUUCUAGUGUUCGUUUUGUGGAGUCUCUGCACCUACAUCCUUUUUUGCAACUGCAUUUCAGAUCCUUCAGUUAUAGCAUGAAUAAUUUUUUAAAAAAGAAAAUUCUAGGUAGAUUCUUGCCCGUAGUUAAUGGUAGUGUCCGAUGAUAGUUGUGUUUUAGAUAAUACAUUAAUAUUAGUAAUCCAAAGAAACUAAACUACUUCCAUGAUGCUAAAUGUCAUCAGUGCUAGCUAGGGUCACUAUACCAAAAAGGAGAUUCUAUCACCAUUCGGCUGUUUAUCUUAAGUUUUUAACCAUACAGUUAGAAGUUUGAUUGUACACCUAUUCAAUAAUCCAAGGUUUUCUUGAGCCACGUUAUUUACCCAAUGACUUCCAUUUUUCUUGGCAUUAAAACCUUUCUGAAGUAAUUAACAAAUCAUGUCACAUUUGUUGGAUUCCACAGGAUGGAGAAGUCUGGACAUUUAGUGUUAGGUCAUUUGAAUUGCCUCUCCCAGAACGAACUAUUAAUGUGAAUUAUGACGGGUUUGCUGAAGGUAUGUAAGCUGACCUAUUUGUUGAUAUCUUUUGCUGUUAUUGUUCACUGCCAUAAUUUUGUCCUACACAGAUGUGAGAGUUGGUGAUGAGCUUCUUGUGGAUGGUGGAAUGGCUCGGUUUGAGGUGAUUGAGAAGUUGGGACCAGAUGUUAAGUGUCGCUGCACAGAUCCUGGUUUAUUGUUGCCACGUGUGAAUCUUACAUUCUGGCGUGAUGGCAGUAUUGUCCGUGAGAGGAAUGCUAUGCUUCCUACAAUUUCAUCAAAGGUAAAUGCACUAGCAUAAUAAAUUUCUUGCUGUAAUUACCAAAAGACCGCAAAACUUUGUUAAUCUAUGCCACCCCUUGGUACUAGUAUUGCAAUGGAUUUACAGCUUGGUUUUUUUUGUCAAUGCCAUGGUCAGUUCAAAACAACAUGUAUUAGUUCAAAGCCUUACAUUGUGCACUGAAACUCAUCUCUUGAUAGUUUUUAUCAGCUAUUUCUUAAGAAGGCUUCUACCACCUAGAGUUGUUUAACUGAAAAUUUAAUCUUCUAGUAGCAGAUACUAAUAUUAUAAGUUUAUAAUAAUGCUGCUCCUACCCCCGACGCAGCUUGCCGGAGGCCCUUGACGCAGCGCUGCCAUCCGCAAGCCCUAACGCCGCCGACGCGCCCCUCUCCUCGGUUGAUUUGGGAAGGCGCGGGACUGAGGCAGGGAGAUUGGGAAGCAGAGCUUCCUGUUCCUCGUCUGCUACUCUGCUUCAAUUGGGCACCGGGAAAAGCGAUGCUGCCGGGUGCUCGGGUUCUUGGAGAGGGGAUGGAAUGGAAUGAUGGAUCGAUGCGGGAUGCGUUGCUGUUGCUAGCGGCUUCUGAUUGGAGAGAGGAGAGAAGCUGGUUGCUUGUGUUACCGUGAACGUGAAGGAAAACAGAGUAGGGAGGAGAGCAAGCUGCUGGUGCAGGAGCAUCAUGGCUACGGCAAUGGCAGCGGUGCGGUUCGUUCCGUCAAAUCCCAGAUUUCGGCCACAUUUGAUUGAUGCGAUUUAAUUUGAUUCCUUAUUGGUCGCCAGCCACGCAUUCGAUUCAUGGACGCGCAGGCCCCGGUGGUGAUGCAAGCCACGGUGGUUCCUGCAUGACAAUAGGUUCUUGUUACAAGACAGUCAUCAGUCAUAUUGUGAAGAACUGAUGGCAGUUUUGAACACAAAUAUAGGAUUUCAUCACGAUACACUAGAGGUUUACAAUCAUCAACUACUGCAGGGGAAAAAAAUGGAGCUAGUAUUUUUGAAAAAUGGCCCGAUGUUGAAUCUGUGAUAAUGCAACUUAUGUAGCAGAGCAACCAUGGUAACACAAAAAUGUGCCAAGAGACUGACCUGAUCUUCUUCAGCCUCUCUCCAGGUCAUCCCCGAGCUUCAUGUCAAGAGCGUUGGAAACAACCUGGGAGAACCUACAUCCUUGUAAUCCUUCUUCAUGAUGAGGAAUCAGUCAGGGACCAUGAACUGGCGAGGGUUAGGAACCACAUUCUUGAGGCGCUCAAGCUCAUCUGGGGACACCUCACGAGCUCUGCACAAAAAUAUUAUCAUCAGAGCUAAACUUCAUGCAAUGGGGCAUUCUAGCUGUAGCAUACAACAACCUACUGGCCCAGUUUGUUAUUGCGGCACAUGGAAAAUUAGUGGGAAAGUGGUGCGAUGCACCCAUCUCAAAUCUCCAACUUCAAAAAACAUGAAUGCCAAAGACUUCUGCAUAGGCUGUCUUUAGAUGGCAGAUGUUUUUUAAAACACGUUUUCCAAUGGGCUUCACUCUCAAGUAGAUUCAGAAAAGCUAAUUGAUGAUCGGCACCAAGCCACAGAUGACUGCCACUAAUGAACAGUCAGUAGAUAAUUUCUGCAUUGUUGCCUAGAUUUCACCUGAGGAAAACCAAACUGAUUGAACAUCUCGCCACAAUUUCUUAGAUUAACUGAGCCCAUCACCUACGGGAAUGGAAGGAAAAAAAACCGAAAACUGUUACCAACAUUACAAUUUGUCAAAUAAUCUUCAUAUUCGAAUUCCCUAUACAAAAAUACCGCUUUGCCAGACUGGACCAGAAAGCAAACCAAACCUAAAUUCAGUAUAUUUAUACAUGUUGAAUCAUCUCUUGGUCACGUUUUCUUCAUUGAAAAGAAGUAAUGAGAAGAAACAUUCUUCAAAAAUUACUGAUCAAAACCAUAUUUUUAGUGUGCUACGAUUCUACAGCGACUUCAGUACAAUGGAAGCAUUGGUGCUACAACGAGCUUCUGAUAAAGUUAGGAGUGAUUUUAAUCCACUUUUCAACUUGGAAACCAAGUUGAAAACAAGUCUUCCUUUUUGUUAAUGUGUUGCCGUGAGAACAUAGAGUAUGAGCAGUUCAAACCGGUUACCUAAAUUAUGCUUGUGAUCCGUGCACUGUGAUGGUCAAACUUCUCCUUGUUAAAUGGCAAGCUGCUGUUGCCUUGGAUCCUAAGGUCGUGCUGUGAAUGGUAUUGUAACUGUUAAGGUAAAUCCUGUUCUCCAUUUGUGGCCAUGCAUGAGAAUUGAGAACUGGAGAUCAUUCUGAAUUUUUGCUCCUUACAGAUUGCUUUGUGUAUCCCUUGUGCGCCAAAUGGGACUGAAAUUCGUGGCGUGAUACGUCAUCGUGACCUUUUGAAUUUUAGUUGGCUUUGUUUUUGUUUUCGAGGAUUUAACUGUUGUGCCUCCGUCUUCCAUGUGGCGAAGAAAUUGACGCAGUGGGGUCGGGAUGGUGUUCAGCUGCUGUUUGCUGGUAGACUGUUUAUUUUGUUUGGGAGUAUAAAGGGGUGGAUCAUCCAUCAUAUCUAAGCAAUAUGAUUAGUGCAAAUCAUGAUGGUCAACGUCAGGUUUCGUUUUGGGCAACCAACCACAGGGUUUCUUUGAUGGUUUCGUAUUCAUUGUAAUCGCUGUCGUUGCUUGCUUCUUGCUGCCCACAUUCCUAUUCUCCCGUCGGCUCGACGGAGGAUUUUAUUUUAAGAAUGCAGAGAAAGAAACAUGCCUCCGUUUUCCAAGCAAAGCAUAUAUUCUUUCUGGAAGGUCAACGACAAGGCCCCGGCCGUUCCAAGCUUCUCGCUGGCCUAGCCGUCGCGUCCAUUCAAGCUCAGAGGCGACUGCCGUUCCGAGCUCUCCAAGGGCCCGCGCGAUGGGAAGCGGCGCGGUUCUUGACGGUGGUGUUGUUCCUCGCCGCGGGGGUCCUCUUCGCGCCCGAAUCGCUGGCGCCUCGGCGGCCACCGCAUGGGGCACCGGCCUCUGGGUCGCAUUCAUCGGCGGCACCAUCCUGUUCAGGUAAGCAAGCGCCGCCGCUGCCGCUUCGUCCGCCCCAAGAUCAGAUGGUUGGAAACAAGCGAGAGAUGGAUUCUGUCAUGUUUACUAAUAUACCAUUAUACCCAAGCCUAAAUGUGAUAUGCUGCUGCUGUCAUAGCAUUCACAUUCAAAUCCAAUUUCGUGCGCAGCAAUGCACGGCGCCCAUCCUAGGAAGAACUCUGAGGAAAAUGACAAGCCUCAUGAAUCUGUCCUUGGAAUCAUGCGAGUUUUAGUAAAUCAUUGGAAUCCACUGGAUCAUCAUCUUAAUCUGGCAACCAUUGGUCCGGAAAAAUCAUUCUAGUAAAUAUUCACCUUGACGAUCUGUUGGAAGGACAAGGACCACAAAAAUUAUGAAUUGGGAUUUAUGUGCUGUAUUGAGAGAGCCCGUAGGUGCUGGAUUUCUCUGGAAACGUUCUGAAAGUUCUGGUAGUGGUAGCACUGCUACAAUUUUACAAGCAUGUGGGGUUGUUCCUCUGUUUGUUGAUUAGGUAUUAUGUUUUGCAGUCUUAAAGUUCAGAAGGUAAUUACCCAGGUGUGCAAGUAUACCUUCAAGUUUUUUUUUAACAUAGUGUACAUAUUACCUUGUUAUAGUGAGAACAGAGAAGUCCACCGCAAAAGUAUAGCCUAGCAUAUAUUGUUCUUGCAAUAGACCAUGUGUGGAUAUGCCCCUUUGCAGGUCGAUUAUUCCAUUCAGAACAUAGCAUGGACCUCUAUAGUGUUUUGGAUAGAUUUUUUUUUAUUAUAAAGGUACUUGCCGAGGCACCAAUUUGGGAGUCUGCGGGGUAAAAUGUUCCCGGCGUAGUUCAUAUUGACAUCAGUGUGUUCAGCGAUAUCUGUGGCAGCAUUCGUAUACCUGCACCCCUGGAAGACAGCAUCAACCAUCGAGCGUUACCAGCAUGGAUUCCUUCUUUCGGCCCUUAUCUGUAACCUUUCAAACCUUCUGGUCAUCACACCCGAUCCUUACCUGCGCUGCCGCCGCACCGCCACCUCUCCCUCCCUGCGUCGCCGCCGCGCCGCCACCACUCCCUCCCUGCGUCACCGCCGGGACCCCGACGACCCCUCCCACCACUCCCUGCAACUGAAGAGGUAAUCCGACAGCGCCCCCUCCGGGCGCCGCCACGCCGACCCGCCUCCGGGUGCCCAAUUGAUACGCCCGGACCGCUCCUCCUCCGUCCGCUGCCCAACCGUGCCUCCUCCGGGCGCCCAACGCCGGCGCACCCCCUGUCCGGUUGCCCCUCCGCGCCAGCGCCCCCCUUCCCGGCCUUCUCUCCACCCCUCCCCCGGCCUCCCCUCCACGCCGGCGCGCUGGUAGACGGACGCCUCUGGCUACUUCUGUGCCGGCCGCGCCGCCGCCAAGCUCGCCCCUACGAAAACGGUAACCUCUUCCGCCCAUCUGCACAUCUCCAUGACAAUCCGUUUUUAUGCAUCCUUAUUGAGGCGGAUCUGGUGGUUCGAUUGCAUAGAGGAGGAUAAUGAUUAGUGGAUUUGCUUGAUUGGCAACAUAGUCCAUCAUUUAUUCUCCUGUUCUCCAUUAUCAGUAUUGUGAAAUUGCUUGACAGAUGGCUGGUCACUUGUUUUUUUUUAGUGAUUCCAAUGGUAAUCAUAUCAUACCAGACCUAGAUAGAAUAUAAUAUGAGAUGAUGUUGCAGACUGAGUCAUCUGAUUCUUGCAGUCUAAUUCUAGGAGUUUUAGGCAGUGGCAUGUGAAUAUUAUCAAUACUUCUGCUUCAGUUAACAUAUGCAACUUAUGGGCACUCACAUAGCAGGUUAUUUUUCUGUUGUUUUAACUAACAUGGCAUGACGUGAUGUUUUUGACUGUUUAACUAAUAGAAUCUUUAAGCUUUGAUUGGUACACUCAAACUUCAUUAUUGAGAUUGGUCGACUGUCAGUAUUGUGAAAUUGCUCAACAGAUGGGAUAUUGCUUGCAUUAAAAGAUUAGCUUCAGGAUAUUGCUUCGAUUGUAGAGGAUGAUAAAAGUAUUGAUUUUUCUUUCCUUGUUUUUUAGUCAUUCGUGCUUACUCUCUAGCAAUGGUUAAUUACAACACUGCAGGACUACUAGCUAGCGUAUUUAUCUAGGUUCUGAUAUAAAGCAUAUAACAUUGGAUCUGGGAUAAUAUGUUGGCUAUUUUGUGGCUGGCCCGGAAGCCCAGUGGUUGCUUUGCUUUGCUACCUGCUUUUGCAACUCUCUUCUUUUCUGAGCUCAUUCUUACACUUUAGCCUGCAGUCGAGUAUGUGUGUUAGCUAUUGAGCUGUUUUGCUUUGCUUAAUCAAAUGCUAUAUUACACCAUGUUUUCAAAUUUGUUCCCAUAGUUAUUUAGCUUAACCUCUAUCUCUGAAAUCAGGUACUUGAUAGGAUGAACUGUAGGGGUCUGAGGUCUUUUUUUAAUGAAGCAACAGGGGAGGACCCUACUGACAAAUUUCAGAGGAUAUAUAUCUGUACAGGUUGCAUGGCCAUGUAGUUCCAAAAGAAAAAAAAGGAGGAGAUUUAGAUCCCUCUCCACGAAAUAUUUUCAUGGUUGUCCAUAAAUAUUUGUUUUCUGUGCAUUAAGCUUUUCUGUUGUGCUAAUCUGAUUCAAGGAACCCAGAAUUGCAACUAUCUUAAAUUUUCUUUUUAUAUUCCAUUUUAUAUCAAUUCCAGGUACAUGCAUGAUUGGUAUGGCCAGGUUGAAUGCAAAUAUGUGGCAACACUGAAGUAGAACAAUCAUUAUGAAGCAUGUCAAGUAAGCAUGUUCUAACUUUUGGAAUGUAGCUUCAUGAAUUUGAUUCUUUGAUAUACUAUACAAGGUUGUAUUUGUUUGAUCUGUCACUUAAUUUGACAUUGGAGUUGUCCGGCCAACAAAUCCACAUGUGCCUCCGCCACAUGGACGCCCCCAAGGCCCGUACGUGAUCCCCAGGUCCCUUCCCUUCUGUUUGGUUGCAAACACUGACAGAGAACCAUUUGCAACUGAGCUCAUGACUAACUUAAUGUACCGUUGCUGCUUGCAGGUCACAGCUCAGAUGAGGCAAAGCGGAUAGCUUGAUUACUGGAUGCAGGAUUAGCAUCCACCAUGAGCCUGUGCACCUGGUCCAUCGUAAUUCUUUGAAUUUACUCUAUUGAAUGCAGGGUGUUCCUGAAAUUGCAAGAAUUAUGGCACCAGAUUGGUCGUCGAUGGACAGAAGGCAAUGCUGUGCUGCCAAUUAAGUUGCCUGGUGAUGUUUCUAACAUGCAUUCUGUACUAUCUGACAUUUUAGAUUUCAGGCUGCUAUCGUAUCUGGUUUGUGACUGUAUUUUCUACCAAUCAAGUUGCCAUCAAACUUAAAUAUUGAAGCCUCUGGUGGAUAUGAUGAUGAAUUGACUGUAGACUGUUGGCCCUUGGGCAUUGCAAAGAGAAGGAAAUAUCUGUUAAGAUAGCCAAAACCAUCAAGUUAGUCCAGAUCAUGCGCUACAAAAUUUCACUUCUUUUAUGAACUGCUGUAGUGUGUAAUAUAAAUAAUGCCAUCAAGUUAAUAUGUAUGUGCAAAAAAUCCCCUGACAGGAAAUUAUUAGGAAUUUAUAUUAGAAACAGGAAACAUGAAUGCUGAAGCAUGUUAGAACUGACAAAACACAAUCAGACAUAGGCAGGUUCUUGGGACUGCAUGAAGAGAGACUCAGAUUCCUAAGGAUUGUUCAAGUGCAUUCGAUGUGAUUUGCCGACGAAUGGAACAGAGGAUGGCCUAUGGCCAGAAUGAGCAGGUGAGGCUCCAUACUAUCUUACCGUAUGUCUUCCUCAUGUCUCAUGUGUUGCAUUGCAUGUAACUGUUAAAGUAUCUGUGCUACAGAUCUCACUUUAUUAAAUCAUGUGAGAUUAAACUUACAUUUAUAUUGUCAUUAAUAGAAAUCAACAGAAAAGAGGUACUGAUUGGAUUACUAAUUCAUUAUUUGUAGUUGCCUUAGUCAAGAAUAUAAAUUUGUCAGGGACAACUCAAAUACAGAAACACACUCAUGAUCCUUUGUAGUUUGCAGUAGAUUGCGAGUUUAAUGGUAAAUCUGGACUUGAACUUCUUUUCAGACUCUGUUCUACCACCGAAUUUCAUACUGCAUUACUUCAUGCUCGAAAAAUGGAUGAAAUCAAAUCGAUAGCCUUCCUCGGUUAACCAUUGCAGAGACACCGCUCUUGUAAUUCAGGACAUGGUACUGCUGCACGAAGUGGAGGUGGAAUACCCGGACGGUCGACCCAUCGAAAAGCACCAAGCGAUGCUACUGGAGUUCGGAAAGUUUGAAAAUGGCCAAUCCACCACUGCCAUGUCCCUCACCGUUGGUGUAGCAGCAGAAAUAGGGGCUCUGGUAGUAACCUUAACCACAGUUAUACUUGCAUGAGGAUAAAAGCAGAAACCCCAUGUAUAUUCAUUUACUCUUGCCCCAUGCCAUGUUGCAGCUCUUGCUCCAGAACAAGGUGCAGACGAAAGGAGUGAUUAGGCCUCUGGAACCUGAAAUCUACAUUCCAGGUGAGUGCAACGUGGACCAUGGUUUUCAUGCCUGUCCUUUGUGGAAUCACCGUGACAUGCAACAGUGCUGACUCGUGUGUUUGCGUGUGUGAAGCAUUGGAAAUCUUGGACUCGUCAGGCAUAAAGCUGACUGAGAGAGUGGAGAUUUGAAAAUUCGUGUGUACUCCCUCCGUCCCUGUCGUUUUCGCUUCCUGAGAAACAACUUUGACUAAAUAUAUAUAAAAAAUAUUAAUAUUUAUGAUACAAAAUUAAUACAAUUAGAUAGAUAUUUGAAUCUAGUUUUUUAAUAAAUUUAUUUGAAGAUACAAAUGGUGCACGUAUUUUCUACAAAUCCAGUCAAACUUGCGGCACGGAAACCAAAAGCGACAGUUAUUUAGGGACGGAGGGAGUAAGCAUUGGAGAUCUUGGAGUCGUCAGCCACCAAGCUGACUGAGAGAAUGUAGAUUUGAAAAUUCGAAGUUAAUAGUACAUAGAUAUACUAUAUGAUAAUAGCUGGGUACAUAUAUUCUGUACAUACUAUGUUCUGUCCUAAGAAAGGGUAGGAACUCCCAACAGUUUGUCGUCGUCGUUGUACAUAGAAUCUCAUAAUGUAUAACUUUCAAAGCUCUAAAAACAACAGGUCUUGUGUGCAACGAUGAUAGUCGGAUUAGUUAUACACCAUGUACUUUAGUGUGGCACUAAAUUAUGAAUAGGUUCUCUAUACUUAAAGCUUCUUAGACUAUGAUGUUCGUCAGCUCACUGGUGAUUGGAAAGGCGUCUUUAGAAAUUGCUACGCAAAACGAUUGGGAGUAUAGGGCAACCCUGCUUGCUUAUUCAAAUUGAUGUACCUAAGGGUGUAAAAUGUGAAGAUAUAUGGAAGUCUUGAUUGUGGAGAAAAAUUGUCAAUCAAAAUAGCAUCUUAUUUAUGAGGUGGGGCCUGAUUCGACUCAUGUCGAGCCCUCUCCUUUGCACCAACGAACAGAUCCAAUCGUUUAAAAUCAGGUCCAAGUUCACAUCUCUUUUGCCCUCCCACUCAGAGCACAAUCGGCCAGCGCGACGGGGAUGGCGACACAGCCACCGACGGCUGGAGCUCCCUCAAUGCUGCCAGCAGGUAAUUGACUAGCCUAUUACUAUUUGGAUGUGAUGCACAUUGGUCACGAAUUUGUAAAUCUAUCAGUUCCUGCUUCCUGCAUCCAUUUGUGCAGUUCUUGCGGUGGAUGCAGUGCACUGAGUAUAGAAAUUAUUUUUUAUUACUUCUGUGAAACGUUUUGGCCUUGGCAAGUAUGUACAGAUUUAGUUGUUGUUUUUUUAGUCAGAGGUGAGCUACGUGUAUGGGAAAGAAACACUUGAUUGCUUGUUCUAGAUCUUGCCUUCAUAUAAACUGUGAUGCUAUCAACAUGGAGAUUUGAUGCAUUCUACUCUCUCUCUAUUUCACAUGGAAAAGAACUCGUGUUUACUCAAUAAUGCUUAUGAAUUUUCCUUAGAGUUGCAUUUAUUCAUCAUCCUAAAGUAUUCCGUGUCAAGUAAACUCAUACUUCUAAUUUUUCAAAAAACAAUCUGAAAUCAAUGAACCCCUCCUUCCUUGUGAAAUUGUUGUACCUUUUUCCUUAUGACAUCUUAUCUACUUCCACUUUCCUGGUGCAGAAUUUUUGAAAGUAGGAAACGUAAGCAAUGACAGUGAGAGUCGCAGCAAUACUGAGCUCAAUAGGUGAACUAGACAAACCAUUCUGCUGUAGUUCAUUUUAUCACUGCAGUCAUCGUCGGACAAUGAGGUCAGAACCAGCAGGUUCGCAGAGUGACUUGUGACUUGUGGAUAAUCCUGCAGAUUCAACAAUGGUAAAGUAACGAAUGGUUAAGGUAUAAGUAGAUUUACUCAAUUAUACUCCAAUAGCUAAUGCAUUGCAUAUAUUGCUUGGCCGUGUAUAUAAAUAUUACAUCACUGUUCAACAUAAGUAAAUAGCUUGGUCCUUCAUAAUAAAGCAGUCCAUUUUGGUAAAAGCUAUAGUGCAAUUAGUUUUCUUGAUUUUCUUAAAAUUUUACUCAAAGUCUGUUCCUUAUGUUGUACAUUUGCCUCGCGGGCUGGCUAACUGACCUACAUGAGGCUGGCUAACUGAUCUGGAGGUUCACUAUCUAUGUUCUUUCAUUUCAUUGUCAAACAGAGAUAUUCUAAAUCUGAAAGUCUGUUGAAAUUGCCUAUGGAGUCUUGUGGUACCUUUAGUGUUUCUUAUCAUGUCCAGUAGGAGGUCUUGGAAAACAUAUUUGCCAUACAUGAUUUUUUUUAAAUCGAAAGUAGUAAUAUGCUGUGUAAUUGCCUUCUUGCCUCCUGACGUGUGGCAAAUUCAUUGAGCGUUUCCACUUACAUCGCUGGCAUAUUCAGAAAACAACGCAAAGAUGAUGGUUUUGGGUGAGAGGUCCUUUGGUCAAGGUAAUUUCAGAGCAUUGAUUUUCAAUGUACUUGUAAAGCCAAGAGAAAGUUGAGCAGGGCACAUUCAGUUGUUAACUGGACUGUUGGCUUGCUGCUAUGGAAACAUGUUUUCAGCCUUAUUACUUGCCGAGUUUACAUUGGGAUCUGAAAACUGGACAGCGUGCCAUUAGUUUUGUCUGUCUCCAGGACAUUGCCCAUGCACAUGAACUGACUGAUUACCAUGAAAAUUCACCUGUUUCAGUUCCAAACUAAUUAUUGCUUCAAGGUCACAAAGCUAUAUGAAAAUCUGUAUCCAAUUGAAUGCCAGAACUCUCUAGGAUGAUGUCAGGCAUUCCCAUUUAUAGGUUAACCUGAAGUGAUUCUUGAAGAUUAGUUUCUGUGUGGUUGAUUUGAACUGUUUGUCAUAUUGUAUGCUUCAUCUUGAUUACUAUCAAUUUCACAGGUCAUGUUCAUUGUGAGGAAUGGAGCGCAAUGCCUUGUGGUAACUCUGGGCAGACGAAAAUAGGCCACCUCUCCCAUUUUCUUGAUAUUUAUUUUCUGAUAUCUGACUAUUGUAUUUGUCGUGAAAUUUAAAUUGUAGACACUAACAGAUCAUGUGUCACUUCAUGCUUUGACCAUGUGAAAAAAAUUCAGUGUAUUUACCCAUGAUCGGUGCCUUGCCCCGAGUGGUCUUUAAUUCCUGAAUUAGGCAACGGUGAUUUUUCUUCUUAAUAUAUAGAUGCGCAGCUCUCCCGCGUGUUCGAGAAAAAUGAGGCAACGGUGACACAGCGCUCGUAGAAAGUAGAAAGUGAAGAAGCGGUUUGAGCAUAUUGCUGUUGACAGCUACCUCCGCAAGAUUUGGCCAGUAUCGUGAGCUGAGUUUCACAACCCUGAACCACUUGGUAAAAAACAGUCUGAAUUUUGCGUUGUGAGUAACUAACUAGACAUCCGAAUAAAUUAGUGUACUGAUAUUCUGAAAUUUGUUUUAGCACUGGGACUCUCUGGACUAUCCGGUGGAAUCAGGCCUUGGCAGGACUGAGGCAGAUGUGGGGGGUGACACCGUGCAGGUGAGGUGGUGGCGGUACCUGGCUCUGGCAUCUCCCUUUAUCCGCUUGAUGGAAUGGCAGCAUGGGUAUGGAGACACCAUCAGCAUCUAAACAAGGCCCAAAAGGUACAAAGAUAUGAUUUAAUCACUUUUGAUUUGUUUAUUUGCUAUCAUAUAAAUUGCAGGUCUUGAGUAAUAUGUCAAUGCUAUAAUUUUGCUUGCUUGUUGUGUGUCCUCUCUAAAAUCUUUUCUUUACCAUAUAUAUCCAUACGCACAAGAUAUUUGCAGUUACAAGUAUAAUCCUCAAGGAGUGAAAAGCUUGGGAUUCUGUUCGUGCAGGCAACAGGCAUUGAUUGCUAAUCAGCAUGGCCUCCACAAGUACCCAUCAUAGGAAGUGCAGCAACCAAUAUUGUGUUCAAACCUGAAGAAAAUAUAUGGGGAUGGCUGGGUGGCUGCACAGCUCAUGGCAGGGACCAAUUUGGAGUCUGCAUCUUCUUUCCCACAUAUAUAUGAUAUUUCCAUAUACUGUCAGGAUGCUAUUAAACUGCCUUCACCAGAUUACUAUAAACUGUGAACUUCGGAACUUUAAUUUUCGAUAAGUUGGAGUCGACGCUUAAAACUUCAGAGCUUUAUUUACUCCUAAGUACCAACAGCUCUAAAUUUUUGUGCACUGCACCCUUAGUUUUUAGUGAACAAUACUGACUGCUGAGGUUAUAAUGCAUCUUUCUAUGUGGGACUAAAGUUUUGUCAAGUAAGGCUAUGUACACAUUGAUAAAUCUGCUUCAGAAUAAUAUCGCUGAUACAUUGCAAUCUCACUAUCUGAACAAAAUCAGGUUUAUCAGUUAUUUAUAGUAGACUUGCUUGUUAGAAAGGACCUAAAUAGGUUUUCUUUGUCUAUGUGAAUUUUCGGGGAAUUCUGCUUAUCUUCCAUGGAUAGAUGCUACUUCUCCUGUAAUAUCGAAUUGGGUCAUGUGUGUGUCAGCUCUUUGCUAGCCAAAGGAGCUUGUGACUUGCAACUACUACUGCUUAUUCAAUGAUCUCUAAUAACUGAAUCAUUUUGUUCAGAUUCUAAUUACCAGGUCUUUUCUCAUCUCUUUAUGUUUUGAGGUGUUGGAUGAAAUAGGGUUAAUGGUGUUUGCUACCAUUCUACAAGAAAAUAGGGUUAAAAUAUUCUUGUAUUCCUCAGAUUAUUUGUGUCAUGCAAACUCCACUUUAGAAAAUUCCAUUCUAAAUGGUUGUGUGAGAUUAUGUACCAUUCUAAUAUGAUCUCAUGAGGGGAAUUAUUUAGCCUGUAGCAACGCACGGGCACGAUCCUAAUGGAAUUGAAAAGAAUAGAGAUCGCGAUGAACCACGAGAAUAUCUAGUGUUGGAACGCAAAGCGGAGGGCAAGUACCCAUACAAAAUCUAAUAACUCUGCAACAGCCAUCACUAGCAAGUUGUCAUACACUCAUUAUGGUCUUGGCCACGAGACAUGAGCAAGAGAUGCACAUCAUGAUCUAGGAAGCAGCAGCGCGCGGGUAUGGUCGCAUGGAACAGCCUCUUUGCCCGCGCCGGCCACCCCUUCCACUGCUGCUCAAAAGGUGCUCGACAAAAUGCCACUCCAGGACACUGCCCGCGCCGGCGCGCCUGGGCAGGAAAGAAAACAGGAAAAACUCUGAAAAGGGAGUAGUAAUGCACAGAAACUCACAUUGCUAUUCGAGUUGCCAUGAAACGUUGGGAUGGGUGUAAGUAACGGAUCAUAGAGACUGUCCAUUGUCAACUUGUCAUUAUUAAACAAAACUACUAUUAUUUUCCCUCCUGGCCUCGAGAUGCUAAUGGAUGGCCCAAAACUAAUGCAAGAUGCACAUGCUCUCACAUGGUUGAAGACACGCAGAUCAAGAUGCACAGAUCGAACACAUCUGGACGAACGUGGUUCUAUAUUGCUGUAGUGUAUGCAACCAAUUAAACACAUCCACUUGGCUCCUCCAAAGUCAACGCUCGAAGUCUCCAUUUUCCACAAAAGCAGCAGCUCAAACCAAGCGUCCAGCUUCUCUCUCUCCACCCAGCAACACUGUGUUUCCUGUGUCCUGUCACCUGUGCGUGUGUUUUUGGAUCUCCAGGCGUUGCCAUGGCUGAGGUACUGGCCACCAUGGUGGUCGGGCCACUGCUGUCCAUGGUGAAGGAAAAGGCCUCCAGCUACCUCCUGGACCAGUACAAGGUGAUGGAGGGGAUGGAGGAGCAGCACAAGCUCCUGAAGCGCAAGCUGCCGGCCGUCCUGGACGUCAUCGCCGACGCCGAGGAGCAGGCGGCAAAACACAGAGAAGGGGCGAAAGCUUGGCUGGAGGAGGUCCGGACGGUGGCCUACAAGGCGAAUGAUGUCCUCGACGAGUUCAAGUACGAGGCGCUUCGCCGCAAAGCCAAGGCGGAGGGCCACUACAAGGCGCUCGGCAUGGAUGUAAUAAAGCUCUUCCCUUCUCACAACCGUUUUGUGUUCCGUUAUAAGAUGGCAAACAGGCUCUGCAUGAUCUUGCAAGAAAUUGAUGUCCUCAUCGCAGAGAUGAAUGCAUUCAGGUUCAAAUUCAAACCGCAGCCGCAAAUGCUCAUGCAAUGGAGGCAGACGGAUGCUUGCAUCCCCACUGAGUCUGUGGACAUUGCCAGCAAAUCAAGAGCUCAAGAGACGAAGGAUCUUGUUCAUCAAUUGCUCGAGAGCAGUAAGGAUCGAUUGCUUGCUGGAGCCAGCAGUAAGGAUCUCAUGGUCCUUCCGAUAGUCGGAAUGGGGGGGUUGGGCAAGACCACCUUAGCACAGCUCGUUUACAAUGACACUGAAAUUAAGAAGCAUUUCGAGUUGCGGCUCUGGGUGUGUGUCUCUGAUGAUUUUGAUGUGGAUUCCCUGGCUAACAAAAUAGUGAAAGAGAAUGGUUGUGAAGCAAGUGGAAGUUCAUCAGCACUGGACAAUCUUCAAAAGGCAGUGAGUGGGAAGAGGUACCUCCUCGUAUUGGAUGAUGUGUGGAACCGUGAUGAGCCCAGCAAGUGGGAAAGGUUGAAGUCCUACCUUCAGCAUGGUGGCAGCGGUAGCUCAGUGCUGACAACAACUCGCGAUGAAGCUGUUGCUAAACUAAUGAUGGGUACAACUGAAGGAGCCUAUAAACUUGGAAGCUUGGAUGAAGAGUCCUUAGGGAAAAUUAUCAAGGCAAGAGCAUUCGGUUCAAAACAGCCUGGUGAACUAGUUAACAUGGUUGGUAAAGUUGCCAAGAGAUGUGCUGGUUCUCCUUUAGUUGCUACAGCAUUGGGCUCUUUACUGGGUACCAAGACCAGCAAGCAAGAAUGGGAGGAUGUACUAAAUGGAAGCACGAUUUGUGAUGAGGAAAAUGGGAUUUUACCAGUACUUAAACUAAGUUACAAUUGCUUGCCAUCAUACAUGCGGCAAUGCUUUGCUUUCUGUGCUAUGUUUCCCAAGGAUUAUGAGAUUGACGUGCAAAUGCUAAUCCACUUGUGGAUGGCCAAUGGUUUUAUCCCAGAGCAAUCAAAAGUGUGUCCUGAAACUUUUGGAGAAAGAAUUUUCAUUGAGCUCAAGUCAAGGUCAUUUUUUCAGGAUUUGAAGAAUGUCCCAUUUGAUGACAAAUAUUCUAUUUAUAAAAAUGGCAAUAAGCACAGGUAUUGUUCUAGAAUUACUUGUAAGAUCCAUGACCUUAUGCAUGAUGUUGCACAGUCUGCUAUGGGAGAAGAAUGUGCUGCAAUAGCUACACACCCAAGUGAAAAAGAGGAUGUUCUUCGUUCAGCUCGUCACUUGUAUUUGUCAAUCCGUCAACCACAAACUCUUCUGAAUGCUUCCCAAGAGAAAGGAUCUCCAGCUUUCCAAACACUGAUUUGUGACGGAUAUGUAGGAGAUUUGAAGAUUUUAUCAAAAUACAACUCUAUAAGAGCUUUAAAGAUCGUGUGUGGUUCAAUCUUAAGGCCGAAAUAUCUUCAUCACCUGAGGUAUCUUGAUCUCUCAGAAAGUUUCUUUGAAGCACUUCCUGAAGACAUUAGCAUCCUAUAUCAUCUGCAAACACUGAACCUUUCUUACUGUGACCGGCUUAAACGGCUUCCAAAGCAACUGAAGUAUCUGACUGGCCUCCGUCACCUCUACACUCACGGAUGUGGAAAGUUGAAAAGCAUGCCCCCAGAGCUCGGACGCCUAACUUCCCUACAGACGCUUACAUACUUUGUAGCAGGUGCCGAUGGCUCUGGUUGCAGUAAUUUGGGAGAGCUGCAGAAUUCGGACCUUGGUGGUACACUGAAGCUAAGCAAGCUAGAAAAUGUGACAGGAGCAGAUGCACAAGCAGAUGCAGAAGCAGCAGGUCUUGGAAAAAAGAAAAAACUGACCGAACUGGAGUUAUGUUGGACCGAUAGUGACCAGGAAGCACAGAAUAAUAAUCAUAAAGAGGUGGUGGAAGGUCUCAAACCUCAUGAUGAGUUGAAGGCUCUGAGGAUAAAUCACUGUGGGAGCAGAACUUUUCCAACGUGGAUGAAUACUUUGAAAGGCAUGGUGAACCUGAAAUUAUUCCAUUGCAAAAAGCUCGAAGAGCUUCCUGCACUCUGGGAGCUACCAGCUCUGCAAAUUCUUGGCCUGGAGGGUUUGGAGAGUUUACAUUGUUUGUGCAGCGGUGGUACUACACUCUGGGAGUUCACAUUUCCAAAACUGAAGGUGCUUACCUUGUUAGAAAUGGCAAAAUUUGAGGCAUGGUGGGAGACACAUGAGGUACAAGGAGAAGAGCCGAUAUUUCCCAAGGUUGAGGAGCUGGAGAUUAAGGAGUGUAAAAGUUUGACUGCAUUACCAAAAGCAGCGUCGGUGAUUACAGAAUUGUCUGGCGGAGUUAACACUAAGUGCCGCUCUGCAUUUCCAGCAUUAAGGAAAAUGACGCUAGGUGGGUUGAAUAUGUUUGAAAGAUGGGAGGCAGGCGAAGGAACUCCAGGAGAAGAGGUAACAUUUCCUCAGCUCGAGGAGCUGUCAAUCUGGUCUUGUGGCAGCCUGAGUGCAUUAUCAAAAGGGCCAUUAUUGGCUAAGCAACCAUUUGGCGGAGCUGAAACUGCAACCGUUUGUCAUUAUAUUAAGAAGAAAAUACCGUUUUGGUACAACGCACGCACACGGCCUACCAGCCGCUCUGCAUUUCCAGCACUGAGAAAACUAAGAUUAUCUGAUUUGUCGGCCCUUGAGAGGUGGGGGGCAGCCGAAGGAACUCCAGGAGAAGAGGUAACAUUUCCUCUGCUGGAAGAUUUGGAAAUUCGUGGCUGCCCGAAGUUGACUGAUCUACCUGAAGCACCCAAUCUAAGUGAAUUAUCCAUGAGAAAAGGUUGUUAUCAGCAGCAAAUAUCCCUACAGGCAGCUAGCAGAUUCAUCCCUUCAUUGUCCCGUCUGGGUCUGGAUGUGUCACCCGAUGACACAGAAACAACAUUACUGAAUGUCAAGAAGAAAUUGAAUGGUACACUCGCCUUGGCAGCUAUGGGGUUAGGUCGGUGCGACCUUUUUUUCUCCUCCCGCUCAAGCGCACUGGCGCUAUGGACAUGUUUUGCACAGCUAGUAGAUUUGGAGAUUCGGUAUUGCGAUGCUCUUGUCUACUGGCCAGAAAACGUGUUCCAGGUCCUGGUAUGCCUGAGGAACUUAAAGAUUUCCAGAUGCAUCAAACUGACAGGAUGCACACAAGCUUCUGAUGAGCAAUCUGCUCCAGCUUCACAACAUGGUGGACUCCUGCCAUGCCUGGAGUCUCUAGAGAUAGAAAAUUGUGAAUCUUUGGUAGAGGUCCCCAUCCUGCCGGCAUCUCUCAAGAAAUUAUAUAUUCGCAGCUGCAGUAGUAAUGUCGGGUCCAUCGUAUUUGGUCACCCGGAGGAUACGAGAUUGCUGAGUGCAGAAGGUGUUGUACGGCCGAAGACGUCAUCAUUAAUUCCAGGGUGCAACAGCAGUGAGGCCACAGCGUCUACAGCUGUACUGAAGCUGUCAUCUGCAGCCAACCAUCACUUCCUUCCAUUUCCAUGCCUAGAAUCUCUAUAUAUAGAUUAUUGCAGUGGCUUGUCAGAGGUUGCCAAUCUUCCUCCGUCUAUCAAGACCUUGUACAUUUGUGAGUGCGGCAAGCUUCAAUCCUUUUCAGGAGACCUCCGGUUGCUGGAAGAACUCACGCUUUGUCGAUGCAAAAGACUGGUAUCCUUACCGGAUGGGCCUCAAGCAUACUCAUCUCUUAGAGUUCUUCGGAUAAUACAGGAUGGUAUAAAGUUGCUUCCACCAAGCCUACAUAGCCGUUUGGGUUACCUCGAGGUUAAAAGACUAGAUGACCGUCACGAAGGUAAUCUCCAGUUUCUUUGUUUCUUUUAACAAAAUGAUCAGGAGCUUAAUUGUUGUUGCCUAAAAUGCAACUCUGUGCUUAAACAUUCUGUUACCUAUUACAAGAUGUGGUAGGAUUCAGUGAUAAAAAUUUAACGAGCGCAAUAUUUUGAACCUUUUUAGCCAAUUGUUGUUGAUAUAUACAUUAUAUCGAGUACAAUGCACCACUAAUACCUAUAUUUAUGUGCACUUGUGUCAGUUAAAUCCAUUAACUUUCAUAUAUUGCACAUACGGGGUAUCUAAACACUUACAGCUGGAUCAAGAAGUUUAUACACCAAUAUACACUUCACUUUACUGUAGUCAUCCUUGUAUAUCUCCUUUUUGUCCGUACAAAGAAUUUAACUAUAAGAUGAUCUUUGUGGUUCGCUUUUGAUACCUUGGUUGUAAACUUGUAUUUGCUAACUCGAAUCAUGUAAUAAAAUCAAUCAUUUUCCUUUAGUCGUAUUUAAAGCAGCAUGGCAUCAUGGAAUUAUUGCAGCCGAAUUCACUAGCUCCAAUUAAAGUGGCACUUGUCUUGGCGUUUCUCUGGAAAUUCAGUAGCUCCAUUGCAUACAGUUCAAGUAUGUGUAGUUUUGUUUUCAUGGCUUAUGCCUUUUGACAUAAAUAAUAAUUUUCUUUUGAAACAUUUACUAUUGGGUGCCACAGCAUAUUCUCCUGUGUAUAUAUACUUUCUAACAUCAUCUAUGAUCAUGGCCUGAUUGCCAGAACCAACCUGGAAACGUUCAAUCAGGAAGCUGGUGUGCUCGAAAUAGUAGAUCAAGGCCUGACCAAAGAAAAAGUUAUUCAAGGUAUUUUUGCAAAGAUAUCACUAAGGUUUUUAAUAUUAGUGUUCUUGAUGAUUGAUUUGAAAUGAUGCUAGCUCCUAAUGCUGACUUUCUAUGCGCUGUGACUUCCUUGUAGGAUCGUGCCAGAAACGAAGACCUUUAUUUUGAGCAGAAGCGAAGUUCUAGACUGCAAGCAGAAGAAUUUAGCAUACAGAGCUGCGGGCUCCAGUCUUUUAUCCUUAUUUUUAUUUCUUUUGAGCCAUGACGUGUUUGCAUUCGUGUCUGCUUCAGCCUCCAACACAAGCGAAACACAGGCAGCACUUUCAUUUUAUGAUUUGUUUAUCCACAUACAUGACCGACUGCCGUAGAGUAGACCAACAGUCCAACGUACUCAUGUAGCUCGACAAGCUAUCCAAGCUGCUGCUUUAUAUGAACUGAAAGUGCUGAAUUUUCUCCUGCAUCCUGGAAGGCUUUGGAUGGCACGGUCUUGUGCAGAGGUCUCAUUGUUGUUAACCUGUUUCUUCAAAACUGCAUGUACAGCAACAUUUUCUCCUGGCAGUGCUGCAAUGGAAUUGAAAAGAAUGGUGAUUCUUAUUAUAGUAUAAUUGUGAUGUAUAGGCUGGGACGCAAAGCGAUGAAUGUACAUGCAUGAGCAAGGAAGAAGGGGAUGGAACAGAACAGAGCAAGAACGAACUGCCAGAGCAAGAAGAUGAACGUUAUCUGUAUAGAUAAAAAAUUUUAAUAAAAAUUUUCAUGAGUUAUCCUUUGUCUGGGGCUACAGUACCAAUCCUGCAUUUCGAAUUUGGGACUGCCCUCCUUCAUGGUGUGAUCCAAAUUUCAACAAAAAUUAUCGUAGUGUGGCUACGGUUGUUUCAUACGAUAACUGUCAAUGACACGGUGGCACAUGCAGCUGCGCACGUAGGACAGAACCGCCAACUCACCCCGCCACGUCAACUCCUCUCAACAGCGAUGCUCCCCAAGCGAGCAGAGCAGCGAAGCCCGCCUCGAAAUCUCCGCCACCCCCAUCGAACUUGCCACACGCCACCACCACGGGAUCUCCCUCCACAGUCUCCGCUCCCACUCCCCCGCCACAGCCAUGGCCGCCGCCGCAGCAGCGCACUCCCUCCUGCACCCACCGGCGGCCCGCAAGGCCCCCACAAGUUCUUCCUCUCCUUCCCCUUCCCCAUUCCUCCGCCUCCCGGCCCCCGCGCGCCCGCGCCUCCCGCUACGCCUCCGCUCCACCUCCCCGGCCGCCGCCUCCGACCUCACCGACUUCCCCAACCCGAACGGCAUCCUCGCGCCCAUCGACGUGGACGCCGCCACGGAGGCGGAGCUUCGCGAGAACGGGUUCCGGAGCACGCGCCGCACCAAGCUCGUCUGCACCGUGGGCCCGGCCACCUCGUCGCCCGAGCAGCUCGAGGCGCUCUCCGUCGGCGGGAUGAACGUCGCCCGCCUCAACAUGUGCCACGGGGACCGGGAGUGGCACCGGGGCGUCAUCAGGGCAGUCAGGAGGCUCAACGAGGAGAAGGGCUACGCCGUCGCCGUCAUGAUGGACACCGAGGGCAGCGAGAUCCACAUGGGGGACCUCGGCGGCGCCUCAUCGGCCAAGGCGGAGGUGAGGUGCUGUGCUUGUAUGUAAGCUGCUGUCCAGUUUUGGACUUGGCGUUGCAGUUUUCAGUUUUCAGAUUGUACGCCUUCACUUGAACGUAUUCCGUGAAAUGUGCUUGUGCAAUGUGGAUGAGAGGAACGGGUGGUGGCAGUGGCAGUGUCAGGCAUUGCCGUUUCAUACUUCUGCAAAACCUAGCGAGUCAGGAUUUCACCAAAAUGUUUUUUUUCCAUCUUCAAAAUGGCUCAGUUGAUUUAGAUUUUCAGCUCAUGUUUGAAAUUGCUAUAGAAGGAGAAUCAUUCAGAAUUUCAGAUUGUCAUCAAACACUGGAUUGUGAAAGUGGUAAUCAUUUUCAAGGCUUUCAAUCUUUCAAAAAAAAAUCAAGGCUUUCAGUAUCAGUGCAACUCAAAUAAAGUGCAUGGUAAACAUCACCAUGUUUUGGCUUUCUCUGCAUAUAAGACAGGGUGCUGGAGUGGUUCGACCGCGUUGAGGUCCCAAUCCAACCGGUCGGGUUUUUUUCUAGGUGUCAAGUUUGAGUGCUUACCCGUAUUGACAUCCCAAUCCAACCGGGCGAGUCUUGUUUAUUUUUCGUUUCUUUUCCUUUUCCUGCCUAUGGCCUCCCAGGGCUGUAGUCUUGUAUUUUCUGCUAUAUCAAUACAAACUCGCACUAUCUUGUGCGGUUCGUUCAAAAAAAAAGUGAUAGGCAUUGAGGUUCUGAAGGUUGUUUUUUAGAUCUUAGGCCCAAGCCUCAAAUGGCUUUUUUCCCCCUGUUGCAAACCUUCCUUUAAGUAUUGCAUCUAGCACCGGGGAAAACACAGGAAUAUCUUUCAUUUCAGCAACAGAAUCUCUUAUAAAAAGGGCGUACCCAGUGCGAAAGCUCCCACACAAGGUGGGGUCUGGGGAAGGGAAUUCCUAGACAACCUUAUCCUUGCAAUAUUCUUUUAAAAUUCUGCAAAGAGGCUGGUUCGAACCCAGGACCUCCGGGCCACAAGUGGAGAGUUUAAUUUGAAUUAGCUUUAUUAGUAGAAUGCUUGGCCCAUUUAUUGGUAAAUGGUAAAAUUCAUAAAGAUUAUCCUUAUUCCGUUAAUCAAUUUUAGGUGUUUAACUUGCAGCAAAUUCGAACAAUGACAGACAUGCAGCAUAUUGUUAGUUCAUCUGUAAGACUUAGCUUGCUGGUUUAAUGCUUUGUUAAAGGUUUGAAGUUAAUGUGUCUACUGGUAGCUACUGAAUCUCUUUAUAGUUUAUUUAUAUCUUUUUUCUUUAUUAGUAUAAAGCCAUGUAGAAGUUUUCAGAAUACUGAAAUUUCUAGUGUUCGUUUUGUGGAGUCUCUCCACCUACAUCCUUUUUUACAACUGCAUUUCAGAUCCUUCAGUUAUAGCAUGAAUAUUUUUUAAAAAAGAAACUUCUAGGUAUAUUCUUGCCCGUAGUUAAUGUUAGUGUCUGAUGAUAGUUGUGUUUUAGAUAAUACAUUAAUAUUAGUAAUCCAAAGAAACUGAACUACUUCUAUGAUUCUAACUGUCAUCAGUGCUAGCUAGGGUCACUAUGCCAAAAGGAGAUUAUAUCACCAUUCGGCUGUUUAUCUUAAGUUUUUAACCAUACAGUCAGAAGUUUGAUUGUACACCUAUUCAAUAAUCCUAGGUUUUCUUGAGCCACGUUAUUUACCCAAUGACUUCCAUUUUUCUUGGAAUUAAAACAUUUCUGAAGUAACUAAUAAAUCAUCUCACAUUUGUUGGAUUCCACAGGAUGAAGAAGUCUGGACAUUUAGUGUUAGGUCAUUUGAAUUGCCUCUCCCAGAACGAACUAUUAAUGUGAUUAUGACGGGUUUGCUGAAGGUAUAUAAGCUGACCUAUUUGUUGAUAUCUUUCGCUGUUAUUGUUCACUGCCAUAAUUUUGCAUCAAAAUCCUACACAGAUGUGAGAGUUGGUGAUGAGCUUCUUGUGGAUGGUGGAAUGGCUCGGUUUGAGGUGAUUGAGAAGUUGGGACCAGAUGUUAAGUGUCGCUGCACGGAUCCUGGUUUAUUGUUGCCACGUGCGAAUCUUACAUUCUGGCGUGAUGGCAGUAUUGUCCGUGAGAGGAAUGCUAUGCUUCCUACAAUUUCAUCAAAGGUAAAUGCAGUAGCAUAAUAAAUUUCUUGCUGCAAUUACCAAAAGACCGCAAAACUUUGUUAAUCUAUGCCCCCCCUUGGUACUAGUAUUGCAAUGGAUUUACAGCUUGUUUUUUCUGUCAAUGCCAUGGUCAGUUCAAAACAACAUGUAUUAGUUCAAAGCCUUACAUUGUGCACUGAAACUCAUCUCUCGAUAGUUUUUGUCAGCUAUUUCUUAAGAAGGCUUCUACCACCUAGAGUUGUUUAACUGAAAAUUUAAUCUUCUAGUAGCAGAUACUAAUAUUUUAAGUUUAUAACAAUGCUGCUCCUUUUCUUGUGACAACUUGUGCAGGAUUGGCUUGACAUAGACUUUGGAAUUGCCGAAGGUGUAGAUUUCAUCGCUGUUUCAUUUGUCAAGUCAGCAGAAGUAAUUAAACAUUUUAAAAGCUACAUAGCUGCAAGGAGCCGUGGCAGGUACCAGGAGUAUAAUUCUGUACUGUUAUUUAAGUUUAUGCUUUCUUGGAAAAGCCAUAUUUGACAUUAUUAAACUGAUAACGGGUGUUCCUAGAACUGUUCUGCAUGCUUAGCCACUGUUUGUGGUUGGUUCCUGGUCAGUCCCAGAUGAUUACUCAUACUGGUAGGGUUUUAGUUGUAUUCUAACCCCCAAAAAAUCAGCCUGGAAUAUAUUGGUUUCUAUGUAGUUACUAGAGAAAACAGUGAAUCAACAAGAUAUCCCCUUUCUGGUGUUCCUCCUUUUCUAAAUAAUGCUGUGGAACAACAUGAUUCACGGAAGAAUAAUAAGAACUGUUUAAAAUUGUAUGGCUUGCCUCAACCUGGUGUCUUCUCUGUGCCAAAAAAACAACACUUGGUGUCAGGUGUCAUCUCAGCACCUACAAUUCAUCUGCAUGCACUAGAAAAAUUGUGUGUGUGUAGCUCCUGCCAAAAUUGCCAGUUUGCCAUUGUACGUCCAUCUCAUGUUUUGUGGCUAAAACUCAGUUAGUGACACAAAAAGUUACCUAGAUUAAAAUCGCUAAUCCCAAACCGCAAGUGAUAUCAAUCUUGCUAUGUUAUCUUUUAUACUUCAAUUAAUUGGGCCUUGCAAACAUCCAAAUCAGAAAGGAUUGCUAGUACCGUGUUUCUGAAAUGUUUCCUUCAUUUUGCUGAACUUUAUAGGUUCCUUACUCUAAUAAUGCUUUAUUUUAUAUGAUCAGUGAUAAGCAGUCAUUGCGAAAAUUGAGAGCAUUGACUCUUUAAAGAACCUGGAGGAGAUCAUCCGAGCAUCAGAUGGUGCCAUGGUAGCCACUCUGGAUAUGGGGGCACAGGUUCCCUUGGAGCAGGUCCCCUCAAUACAAUAAAAGAUAGUUCAACUGUGCAGGCAGCUCAACAAGCCAGUCAUUGUUGCUUCUCAGCUCCUUGAAUCAAUGGUCGAGUAUCCUACUCCCACAAGGGCCGAAGUUGCCGAUGUUUCUGAAGCUGUCCGCGCCAGCGUGCGGAUGCUCUAAUGCUUUCUGGUGAGUCAGCAAUGGGAAGAUAUCCAGAGAAGGCUCUUAGUGUUCUGAGGAGCGUUAGCCUCAGGAUUGAGAAGUGGUGGCGGGAGGAGAAGCGACAUGAGGCACUGGAACUUCAAGGUGUUUCAUCUUCAUUCUCUGACAAGAUAUCAGAAGAAAUCUGCAACUCGGCAGCUAAAAUGGGUAAGUACUGCCACCAUCGUAUUCAGUGCAUACCAUAGUUAUGUUGUCAUAGCAACUGAUAUAGCAGCUGACGCCAUCUUUGUUUUCACAAAGACUGGCCACAUGGCCUCCUUGCUCUCACAGUGCCGUCCUGACUGCCCAGUUUUCGCCUUCACAACAUCGACGUCCGUCAGGAGGCGGCUAAACCGUCAGUGGGGCCUCAUCCCAUUCCGCCUCAGCUUAGCAACUGAUAUAUUCAAUUGCUUUGCUGUCUCAUCUUCCUAUUAUUGUCCAUUAUCUUGGUUACUGACAGAACAUUUAGAUUCCAUUUUCUUAGAAGCUGUGUCUAAACAAAACCAAUUUCAUCUGCAGCUAACGGCCUGGGAGCUGACGCCGUCUUUGUUUUCACAAAGACUGGCCACAUGGCCUCCUUGCUCUCACGGUGCUGUCCUGACUGCCCAGUUUUCGCCUUCACAACGUCGACGUCCGUCAGGAGGCGGCUAAACCUUCAGUGGGGCCUCAUCCCAUUCCGCCUCAGCUUCUCAGACGACAUGGAGAGCAACCUGAACCGCACCUUCUCCCUGCUAAAGGCCAGGGGCAUGAUCCAGUCUGGCGACCUGGUGAUCGCCCUCUCUGACAUGCUGCAGUCCAUCCAGGUGAUGAACGUACCCUAAGAAAGAGCCUAAUCCUCUGUGGGAUGAUCAUAUGAGAUGGAAGAUGGACCAUGAACUUUAUCGGCACCUUGAAGGACAGUUCCUUGCACCAAAAUUAUUCGCUUUCACCCUGUAUUAGAUGCUGGGCAGGACUAGAGAACUGUGGCAAUAAUUUGCAGCUUUGUGCCCUGCUGUAAAACUGUUAUAUUACUAUUAGCUUUAUUUAUAGUCUGACCUUGGGGUGACUCUUUAAUGUGCAAGCUUUGGGUCUUGCUGUGGGCCGUAAUGGGCUUAUAAGUGAAGCGCAGGGAGAAGAGGAAGAACCCGCUGAAGAACAUGGCUGCUGUGCUCAAGCUCAACCCCUACCUCGGCACUGCCCGCAAGAUGGCUACCCUCGCUAAGGUUGCCCACAUCAAGGCAAGGAAGGAGAAGCUCGAAUCCAAGAGGACCAAGCUUAGCCCGGUAUGACCAUUUUUCUCCCUCCAUUUCAUUUCUGAUUAUGUCAAUAAUACCUGAAUUGAUCACUUAGAUUGCACAUGUAGUUCUGGUGUACUGUUUAUGACUUGUAGUGUUUGCUAUGGUACAUUUUCUGCCCCUUGUAUGAAUGGUUUAAUUUGUUUGAUGUAUCAUAAUUUGAGCAAAUUUCAUUGCUUGAAAGUAUUAGUACUGGAGUUCUGUGUGAAUAACAUGAUUCUGCUGUAGUGAUUCUUGUUGUUGUUUAGUUAUGUGCAUUGAUCUAAUGUUGUGCCAACAAAUAUUCUUGUAAUUGCGCGUUUGUGCUGUAUCAGUAUGCAUGGGUAAUCUAGUUUGUCAUUGUUUACUAUUUGCUCAGGGUGUUUCGGUACCCUUAAUUGCUUUUAGUAAGGCAUUUGUCUAUGUUCUGUUCCAUUUCUUUAUAUGCUAGUAGAUAUCUGAGCAAUUGUUUGUUCUACUCUUUUCUUAGAAAUGAUUUAUGGUACUGGAAGCUUCGGUAAUCUUUGCAUAUAUGGCAUAUGACAUGCCCUGGUAACUCAUGGGUCAGGGUUUAUCUUGAAUGUUUUAGUUCGAUCCCUCUUGUUGAUUUGUGUUCUGAAUUGGUAACUUGGGACUAUGCCUUGUUAGAAUGUGAUGAAUAGAUUGAUGUUUUACUAAGCGUUUUGAUUACAGAAUACUAGAAUGAAUGUUAUUACAUUAUCCAUGUUUCGAACUGAAUCCCAAAAUUUACUGAAUCCCUUCACAUCCAUAUAUCUCCUGAAUAUUUGUUUAACUGUAUAGUUUGAUAUGUUUACAUUGUUGUCAAGAUUCUUUGUUGCAUGCCCAUAUAUCUUCUGAACACUACAGAACUGACCAAUAUGUGAACUACUGUUGGUUUAAUGUAUCAGAUGCUGAUUAUUUCGUUCAGCUGUAUGCCCUUUUGUCAACAAACACGUACUGAACAAUAUCUGUAGAUCCAUUGUUGUAGGAGGAGGCUGCCAAGGUCAAGGCUGCUGGAAAGGCAUGGCACAGGACCAUGAUCUCAGACAGCGACUACACCGAGUUUGAGAACUUCUCAAAGUGGCUCGGCGUGACUCAGUGAGCGGGUGCUAUCUAGUUAAGUUUUGAGUAGUAGUGUGGCUGAACUUAUCUCGAGAGGGUUUAUCACUUUGUUUUAUCCUGCAUCAUCAUAAGAAUUCAAUCUGUGGGAUUUUAAGACAAGUCUUCCUUUUUGUUAAUGCGUUGCUGUGAAAUCAUUCUAGUAAAUAUUCACCUUGACGAUCUUUUGGAAGGACAGCGACCACAAAAAUUAUGAAUUGGGUAGAUGGAGGAUUUAUGUGCUGUAUUGAGAGAGCCCGUAGGUGCUAGAUUUCUCCGGAAACGUUCGAUUUAAGCUUGUAGAUAUUGUGAUGAAUCCCGUCACCAUUUUCCCAUGAAACAUUCUGAAAGUUCUGGUAGUGGUAUCCACUGCUGCAGUUUUACAAGCAUGUAGGGUUGUUCCUCUGUUUGUUGAUUAGGUAUUAUGUUUUGCACAGUCUUAAAGUUUAGAAGGUAAUUACCCAGGUGUUCAAGUAUACCUUCAAGUUUUUUUUUACACAGUGUACAUAUUACCUUGUUAUAGUGAGAACAGAGAAGUCCACCGCAAAAGUAAAGCCCAGCAUAUAUUGUUCUUGCAAUAGACCAUGUGUGUAUAUGCCCCUUUGUAGGUUGAUUAUUCCAUUCAGAACAUAGCAUGGACCUCUAUAGUGUUUUGGAUAAAUUUUUUUAUUAUAAAGGUACUUGCCGAGGCACCAAUUUGGGAGUCUGCGGGGUAAAAUGUUCCCGGCGUACUUCAUAUUGAUAUCAGUGUGUUCAGCGAUAUCUGUUGCAGCAUUUGCAUACCUGCAUGGAUUCCUUCUUUCGGCCCUUAUCUGUAACCUUUCAAACCUUCUGGUCAUCACACCUAUGAUGGUUGAAGUAAAAUACUUUGUUUGUGGCCUUGAGCUUUUUACUACCUCUCGUUUUGCAUUUGCCAGAUGCUAGUGUGCUAGUUAUACAGAAUAUCACAAAAUUAUAGUUUGAGUAUGUGAUAAUAUCGGUACUAAUGAAUGGAAUCUUACACUUUUGAUAUGCAAUUUUGAGAUUUACUUUGCUGAUGGUAGUAGAGGUAUGUAAAGCAAAAGAAAGUUACUUUUAAAUUAUUAGUUAUAUGGUUAUAUUUUAUAGGUCAGCGAUUUCUGAGUACUAGUCAUAGCAGCGCUCACAGGAAUAUACUGACUUGUUCUUUAUUUUAUUUUCAAGAAUUAAUACAGAUAGCAUAAAGCAGAAUCCAGUCCAUGAAUAGUUAGCGAUCUAGCAUCUGGAGGUGAAAAUCUAGCUUGGUUAGAACUUAGAAGCAUAGUUGUGGAUAAAAUUUGUGGGAAUCUAAUUUGACAAAACAAGUAGACAUGUCUGGCUGCAUAUAUGAACCUUUCAAACUGCAUCUUAUUGUUUCUGAGAUCUGAUUGGUGUUUUUUCCACAUUUGCAUUGUAGCACACAUCACUUGGAUAUUGUUUUAGAGAGCAAACUUGACAAUCGAGAUAUCUUGAUUGCUGAAAUCGAUGCUGACAAUGUUCUGUUAUUUGAGUAGGAUAGGGGUUAUACAUAAAAAAAAUAAGAAGAGAGAAUGUGCCUUGCAGGCUUGUACUUUGGUUGGUUGAGCAUUGCUCUUUGUAGUUUGCGCUUUAAUUUUCACCUGUGCCUAUUGAAUUGCUCUCUUUCACCUAGAUGAUGAUGAAGAGGUACAAGAUAGAAGGACCUCGUGAGGCCGGGUACUCCAAGAAUGAGGAGAUGGCCAAGAGGAACCCUGCCCUGGCGGCAAUCAGUCAGAAGUUCAGGAUGAUCCACGUGCUGUCGUCACUGGCCAGCCCCAUGUCCUUCGGCAGCCUGGCCAUCCACUCCUGAUACCUCCCCAGCAAGCUCGACCCGUGACUGCCUGACCGAGUGUUAGCUGGUGCCUGGUGAGUGGUGACCUACGAACUCUGAACUUAGCCUAGGUUUCUGUGGAGAAAAAAGAAGUCAUGUCUGUGCAAGAACAUUGGUCCUCGGGAUGAUAUGAUUAGCCUUUAAUAAUGUACAUAAUGCAGGAAGUUCGUUUCAUUUUGUAAUUUGUGUAUAGGAAAUGUGUCUGUGGCAAAUUCCUGAUAUUUUACAGUCAAGAAAUGCAGCUAAACAUGGUCUCUCGGCUCAUGGAGCUUGGGUACAAAGAAAUGACUAGGAUCUUCUGGAACUUUUAGAAUGCCUACUAUCUGAAAAAAAAAUAUUGGCCAGAGAUGACGAGUUUGGUAUGCAUUCCUGAACACUGGUUUCUCUUGUCUGGUGGUCCAAAACCAUAUGGCGUUCCUUCAUCUAGGCCAAAUCUAUUAUAUUCACUUUCUGAAGAUAAUAUCCAGUGAAGCCAAGCCGAAGUCUAGAAAACAAGUCCACAUUGCAAACUGAAGAAUUUAGCAUAUGGAACUCCAUGCUCUAGUCUUUCAUCCUUCUUCAAGCUGAAGUCCUUGAUUUUGAUCACAAAACAAGUCCCAGACUGCAAGUUGAAGAAUAUAUAGCAUAUUGAUCGAGCUCCAUGCUCCAGCUUUUUAUCCUUAUAUUUUCUUUUGAACUAUGGCGUGUUUGAACUCUGUGUCCGCUCCAGCGUAAGCAAAACACAUACACAGCUAGCACUUUCAUUUCAUGACGUGUUUGUCUACAUUACUGCAGAAGUACUUGCCAUAGAAUAGGUCAACAAUCCAACAUACUACUACUCAUGUUGUUGUUCGACAAGCUGUCUAAGCUGCUGCUUGAAUACGAACUGAAAGUGCUGAACUUUGUCCAUGUUAUGUUGGUAGUAUAUCUAAUACUGAACGGUGUGCAGGGUGAUCCUGCAAGGCUUUUAGAUAGCACGGUCUUGUGCAGAGGUUACGUCUGCUCUGUUUCUUCAAAGUUACGUCUGCUCUGUUUCUUCAAAGUUACGUCUUGCAAUUGCCGUAACAUUUCUGCUGGUAAUUCUGUAAUCUCUACUAUAAAAAAAGCAAAGAGGACACAAAAAUGCGGUCCGUCGUUUGGCCGCCGGGCGAUGUCCCUCGCUCCAGACAUUUUGGGCCGUCCGCUUGCAGCACCCUCCGCGCGCAGCCGUUGAUUUGGAGAUUCCGUGAGUUGCGGUGCACGCGCUUCCUCCUCUGUCCGUUUCCCUCCGCGCGGAUCCCUUCCUCCUGCGGUCCUGCCCAUGCGUCGCCAUCCGCCGCCGACGCAACUCCCUCAGUCGCGCCGCCUGCCGCCGCCGCCGCCACUCCCUCCGUCGCCGCAACUUCUCCCUCCCUGCGUCGCCAUCCGCCGCCGCCCCUCCCUUUCUUCACCUCCGCGCCGCCAGAAACCCCCGUCCCUGCCUGCGUCGCCAUCCGCCACCGCCCCUCCCUUUCCUCGCCUCCGCGCCGCCGGAAGCCACCGCCCCUCCCUUUCCUCGCCUCCGCGCCACCAGAAGUCACCGCCCCAUCUUGAGUCGCCUCAUCGCCGCAAGCGACUCCGCCCCUCCCUGAGUCGACGGAACACCAACAGUCGAGGCUACGCUGCACGCCAACUAGAUUUCUCAGUUCGUUGGGUUUGAUCACGGUACCUCUCAGUUUCUUAGUUUGUCGUGCAUCUGAACUUUGUGUGACGUUCAUGUUCUUGUCAUUUGAUUUGUUUGGUCGGUGUUCAUGUUCUUAGAAUCUGGUGCUACGUGACAUUAUAGGCGGUGUUGUGUUUUCUGAAUUGUCGGCGACUUGAAAAUUUGAGAUUCAGAUCGUGAUUUGUUUAGGUGGACAAUUAAAAUUUGAUGAUAUGUCCUUCCCGAGAGCGAAUUGCGCGCGCACAGCGGCGGCAAUGGCACCGCCGCGUUCGCACCUGCUGCCCGCCUUGCUCGUCCUGAAUUGUCGGCGACUUGAAAAUUUGAGAUUCAGAUCGUGAUUUGUUUAGGUGGACAAUUAAAAUUUGAUGAUAUGUCCUUCCCGAGAGCGAAACGUAUUAACUGUGGUAAUUGAGGAUGGUAGAGAUAAUUUACUCUGCAUGUAAACUGAGGACUGAGAUUCAAGAGUAAUCAUAGAACACGUAGACCACAUUGACUGGAAAAUUAGUCCUCUCCAAUUUUUGCUGAUCUGUCCCUGAUAGUACAUAAUUAUUUUGCCACUUUUUGUGCAAGCUUAUCGAUGUACGAAUUCAUAAUGGAAAGUAAGGAUUGCGAUAGUAGGGAUUGGGAUAUUUGUUAUGCUUAUCGAUGCUUAUGGCAAUGCUUCAUAAAAGUAGUAUACACCGCCGUGCACUUCGAAUUCAUGAUGGACAGUAGGGAUUGUGAUAUGUGAUAUGCUUAAGGCAAUGCUUCAUAAAAAGAGUAUGCACCUCCGAGCACUUCAAGUGUACUCUGAUGCACACACAAGCACACAGUUCUAGAUGGUUAAGCCGGUCUGUGAUUAGCAAGAUUUUCAUGAGAAUGGUAUCAGUUAUCAGACAUUCUGUGAUAUCUUGAAUGGAAAAAUAAAAUCAAAAAGGAAAGCACGAUAAAUAGAUAAUUUUUCUUGAAUUCUCCCAUAUUCAGAAAAUUGACUGACCGAGUGUGGAUAACUCCUUUUUUUUGUUACUUGGACCUCAGUUGGCCUUUAUAUUACUCUGAAUAUGUAAGAUUUCAAUAAACAGUAAAUUUGAGGAGGAUUUGCUAUCAUCUUUUGAAUCGUUCAUCCCGGUGGCAGAUUUCUUGAUUGCCUUAAUUGGGGCUGCCCCAGUUAAUGAGAACUAAAUAGCUCUCAUGAUGAAAACAAGUGUUAUUCAUAACAGCUACUUGUAGUGAUGGUGUCUGGCAGAGUACCUUGCUUAUCCAGUGCUUUCCUGUGACAUUCCAUUUUGCUUUUCUCUUGAAGGGUGUUUAUGUUCGUCGGGUUGUGCCUACUGCUCCAGCAAGCAGUGUUUUGUGAAAGGUAACAUGUAGUAAUUAGAUCCAGUUCACAUAUUGAAUACCUUUGGUUGUCCUCCAAUUUUUGCUGAUCUAUCCCACAUAAUUUUUCUUCUUUUUUCCACACAAUUUUUCUUCUUCUUGCCACAUAAUUUUUGCGGCUACCAUGUUUGACAAUAAAAAUUGGUAUACAGUCAUCUACAAAAAUCAUCCCCUGGAUACAAAUAGUACAUCCCCCUGGUACAAAUAGUACAUCCCCCUGGUUAGCAAUUUUGCAGAUGUAGAAGUACAGUUCCAUUACCGGUUAACCACUAUCUACGUUUUUAUUUUCACUAGGAGUUACAUUAAAAUAAUUCAUUCAUAUGUUCUGUAUAAAGGAAUAGACAAAAAUGGCACCACUUUGUUUUACCUAUGUACAAAUAACUGUCUGAUUGGAUAUUACAACAACAAACAAGAAAAGGCUUCAUGAUCAUUUGAAUUAGAACUACAACCUAAAAAAUAAAUGAUCUGUCCAGUUAUUAAUAUUCUGGUUUCAUACUGCAAAAUAGAAAAGUGAUUAAAACAAGUCCAAGUAAUCUGUCCUGCUGCACUUUCUUAUCUAUAAUCCUGAUGCCAAUUUGUUUCAUGUGCCUGGAAGUGAUGGGAGAAGGUGCAGGAGAAGGAUUUAGAAGUUCUUAAUUUGCAGGUGCAAUUUUUUUAUGUGACGCAUCUAUGUGACGCUUGACUUAUCUUAUUUCCAAAAUCUAACACUUCAUACUCGUGCUAAUGAUUAGAACCUGAUGAUUGGGAAGCUGAUGAGGAUGUCGAUCUCGAGACAGCUAAUGAAGAUUCCAACAAACCCGAUGUACCGGAUCCAAACGAUGCGGUUUAUGCCAAUGUCCCUGACGAGACACACAUGCUCAAGCUAGAGGAUAACUGCAAGCACUGCAAUGCAAAGAAGUUUGAGUCCGAGCCACCUGGAUUCUGUUGUCAUAGUGGAAAGAUUCAUCUUUCCACCCCUGAGACACCACCGGAACUCGUGAGACUGUGGUUGAGCUCGGACGCUGAUGCUAGGCAUUUCCGUGCAAACAUCAGAUAUUUCAAUGAACACUUCUCUUUCACUUCUCUGCACUGUAAACUUGAUCGUGUGACCACCGACAUGACAAACUGUGGAAUUUACACAUUUCGUGCCCAUGACCAAAUCUACCAUAACAUAUGAUCAUUUGGUAAAGAGGAUGGUCACGAACCUGGACACCUCGAGCUUUAUUUUUACGACGUCGAUCUGUCUCUUGAGCAUAGGCUCCGCAAGUGCCGUGAGAAGUCUGCCCAAUACAUGGCAUUAAUCCCUGCUUAGAGAAUCUUAGGAGUAUAGGCCAGGUUGACAACCUUGAGGAUUACUCUGUCGAGUUGAACCUUGACCAACGGCUAGACCAGAGAACAUAUAAUGUGCCAUUAACGUCGUUGCUGCCGUUUGGAUUGAGGGGAGCGAGCGUCGGGUCCAGUUCGAUAAUAGUGCUGUCCUCCAAAGGAAGGAUAGGUCGAUCCAUGGUAUUCGGCCCUAUCGUGUGUGCUACGAUGCUCUCUCAUACCUGCUAUUCUUUCCAAGAGGUGAGCUCGGGUGGCACAACUGCAUUCCAAAAGUUGGUGUGACUGAGGUUGAAGUAAAUAAAGCUCGAGCGAUCUGCAAGGCGCGUGCUGAUGGUGGUGGCGACAAUGAUGCUGGUAAAUUCAUAUGUCAUUAUAGUGUCUUACAAACAUUAGACAAAAUUUCCGCAUGUCGUCAAUCACGGCCGCCUUUUUUUGGUUCGUCGUUUGGCUUCGUUUGUCUGCCACGCCGCUCAGUUUUUCACAAGAACAGUCCGUCUCCCCGCCCACGUUCGCCGACAGACGCACCUCACCUCCUCCGUGCUGAACCCGGCCGCACCUCCUCCAUCCGCCCUCCGCCACUUAGCCAAGCCGUGCCUCACCUCCUCUGUCCUCCGAGCGCGGAACCACGCCUGCGCUUUCCCCGCCUGGCCGCACCUCCUACCUGCUACGCUCGGCCGCAGCUCCUCUGUUCGCCGCCAAGCCGGGCCACCUCCGUCCGCUGGGCGUCCAACACCGGCGCGCCACUGCCCAGCUACCCCUCCACACCCCUCCACACCGGCGCCAUCCCCGGCUGCUCCUCCAUGAAGGGAUCUCCAAGUUAGUCCCAUAUGCAGCGGAGGUGAGAAGAUGGAGGCACGAGAGGUGGGGCCUAUGUCGAGCCCGGUGUCAUCUGCCUUCAUGAAGGGAUCUCCAGGUUAGUCCCUUAUGCAUGCAAACAAAUCUAAUCAGCAGCCUCUCCUUUGCACCAACGAACAGAUCCAAUUGUUCUUGAAAAUCAGGUCCAAGUUCACAUCUCUUUUGCCCUCCCACUCAAAGCACAAUCAGCCAGCGCGACAGGGAUGGCGACACAGACACCGACGGCUGGAGCUCCCUCAAUGCUGCCAGGUAAUUGACUAGCCAAUUACUAUUUGGAUGUGAUGCACAUUGGUCACGGAUUUGUAAAUCUAUCAGUUCCUGCUUCCUGCAUCCAUUUGUGCAGUUCUUGUGGUGGAUGCAGUGCACUGAGUAUAGAAAUUAUUUUUGAUUACUUCUGUGAAACGUUUUGGCCUUGGCAAGUAUGUACAGAUUUAGUUGUUGUUUUUUCAGUCAGAGGUGAGCUACGUGUAUGGGAAAGAAACACUUGAUUGCUUGUUCUAGAUCUUGCCUUCAUAUAAACUGUGAUGCUAUCAACAUGGAGAUUUGAUGCUUUCUACUCUCUCUAUUUAACAUGGAAAAGAACUCGUGUUUACUCAAUAAUGCUUAUGAAUUUUCCUUAGAGUUGCAUUUAUUCAUCAUUCUAAAGUAUUCCGUGUCAAGUAAACUCAUACUUCUAAUUUUUCAAAAAAAAAAUCUGAAAUCAAUGAACCCCUCCUUCCUUGUGAAAUUGUUGUACCUUUUUCCUUAUGACAUCUUAUCUACUUCCACUUUCCUGGUGCAGAAUUUUUGAAAGUAGGAAACGUAAGCAAUGACAGUGACAGUCGCAGCAAUACUGAGCUCAAUAGGUGAACUAGACAAACCAUUCUGCUGUAGUUCAUUUUAUCACUGCAGUCAUCAUCAGACAAUGAGGUCAGAACCAGCAGGUUCGCAGAGUGACUUGUGACUUGUGGAUAAUCCUGCAGAUUCAACAAUGGUAAAGUAACGAAUGGUUAAGGUAUAAGUAGAUUUACUCAAUUAUACUCCAAUAGCUAAUGCAUUGCAUAUAUUGCUUGGCCGUGUAUAUAAAUAUUACAUCACUGUUCAACAUAAGUAAAUAGCUUAGUCCUUCUUAAGUCCAUUUUGGUAAAAGCUAUAGUUCAAUUAGUUUUCUUGAUUUUCUUAAAAUUUUACUCAGUUUGUGCCUUAUGUUGUACAUUUGCCUCACGGGCUGGCUAACUGACCUACAUGAGGCUGGCUAACUGAUCUGGAGGUUCACUAUCUAUGUUCUUUCAUUUCAUUGUCAAACAUAGAUAUUCUGAAUCUGAAAGUCUGUUGAAAUUUCCUAUGGAGUCUUGUGGUACCUUUAGUGUUUCUUAUCAUGUCCAGUAGAAGGUCUUGGAAAACAUAUUUGCAAUACAUGAUAUUUUUUAAAUCAAAAGUAGUAAUAUGCUGUGUAAUUGCCUUCUUGCCUCCUGACAUGUGGCAAAUUCAUUGAGCGUUUUCACUUACAUCGCUGGCAUAUUCAGUGAACAACGCAAAGAUGAUGGUUUUGAGUGAGCGGUCCUUUGGUCAAGGUAAUUUUAGAGCAUUGAUUUUCAAUGUACUUGUAAAGCCAAGAGAAAGUUGAGCAGGGCACAUUCAGUUGUUAACUGGACUGUUGGCUUGCUGCUAUGGAAACAUGUUUUCAGCCUUAUUACUUGCCGAGUUUACAUUGGGAUCUGAAAACUGGACUGUGUGCCAUUAGUUUUGUCUGUCUCCAGGACAUUGCCCAUGCACAUGAACUGACUGAUUACCAUGAAAAUUCACCUGUUUCAGUUCCAAACUAAUUAUUGCUUCAAGGUCACAAAGCUAUAUGAAAAUCUGUAUCCAAUUGAAUGCCAGAACUCUCUAGGAUGAUGUCAGGCAUUCCCAUUUAUAGGUUAACCUGAAGUGAUUCUUGAAGAUUAGUUUCUGCGUGGUUGAUUUGAAUUGUUUGUAAUAUUGUAUGCUUCAUCUUGAUUACUAUCAAUUUCACAGGUCAUGUUCAUUGUGAGGAAUGGAGCGCAAUAAUGCUUUGUGGUAACUCUGGGCAGACGAAAAUAGGCCACCUCUCCCAUUUUCUUGAUAUUUAUUUUCUGAUAUCUGACUAUUGUAUUUGUCGUGAAAUUUAAAUUGUAGACGCUAACAGAUCAUGUGUCACCUCAUGCUUUGAUCAUGUGAAAAAAUUCAGUGUAUUUACCCAUGAUCGGUGCCUUGCCCCGAGGGGUCUUUAAUUCCUGAAUUAGGCAACGGUGAAUUUUCUUCUUAAUAUAUAGAUGCACAGCUCUCCCGCAUGUUCGAGAAAAAUGAGGCAACAGUGACACAGCGCUGGUAGAAAGUAGAAAGUGAAGAAGCGGUUUGAGCAUAUUGCUACUGACAGCUACCUCCGCAAGAUUUGGCCGGUACUGCAAGCUCUGAGUUUCACAACUCUGAACCACUUGGUAAAAAACAGUCUGAAUUUUGUGUUGUGAUUAACUGACUAGACAUCCGAAUAAAUUAAUGUACUGAUAUUCUGAAAUUUGUUUUAGCACCGGGACUCUCUGGACUAUCCGGUGGAAUCAGGCCUUGGCAGGACUGAGGCAGAUGUGGGGGGUGACACCGUGCAGGUGAGGUGGUGGCGGUACCUGGCUCUGGCAUCUCCCUUUAUCCGCUUGAUGGAAUGGCAGCAUGGGUAUGGAGACACCAUCAGCAUCUAAACAAGGCCCAAAAGGUACAAAGAUAUGAUUUAAUCACUUUUGAUUUGUUUAUUUGCUAUCAUAUAAAUUGCAGUAACAGGUCUUGAGUAAUAUGUCAAUGCUAUAAUUUUGCUUGCUUGUUGUGUGUCCUCUCUAAAAUCUUUUCUUUACCAUAUAUAUCCAUAUGCACAAGAUAUUUGCAGUUACAAGUAUAAUCCUCAAGGAGUGAAAAGCUUGGGAUUCUGUUCGUGCAGGCAACAGGCAUUGAUCGCUAAUCAGCAUGGCCUCCACAAGUACCCAUCAUGGGAAGUGCAGCAAUCAGUAUUGUGUUCAAACCUGAAGAAAAUAUAUGGGGAUGGCUGGGUGGCUGCACAGCUCAUGGCAGGGACCAAUUUGGAGUCUGCAUCUUCUUUCCCACAUAUAUAUGAUAUUUCCAUAUAUUGUCAGGAUGCUAUUAAACUGCCUUCACCAGAUUACAAUAAACUAUGAACUUCAGAACUUUAAUUUUCGAUAAGUUGGAGUCGACGCUUAAAACUUCAGAGCUUUAUUUACUCCCAAGUACCAACAGCUCUAAAUUUUUGUGCACUGCACCCUUAGUUUUUUAGUGAACAAUACUGAUUGCUGAGGUUAUAAUGCAUCUUGCUAUGUGGGACUAUAGUUUUGUCAAGUAAGGCUAUGUACACAUUGAUAAAUCUGCUUCAGAAUAAUAUUGCUAAUAUCUCACUAUCUGAACAGAGUCAGGUUUAUCAGUUAUUUAUAGAAGACUUGCUUGUUAGAAAAGACCUAAAUAGGUUUUCUUUGUCUAUGUGAAUUUUCGGGGAAUUCUGCUUAUCUUCCACGGAUAGAUGCUACUUCUCCUGUAAUAUCGAAUUGGGUCAUGUGUGUGUGAGCUCUUUGCUUGCCAAAGGAGCUUGUGACUUGCAACUACUACUACUUAUUCAAUGAUCUCUAAUAACUGAAUCAUUUUGUUCAGAUUCUAAUUAUCAGGUCUUUUCCUCAUCUCUUUAUGUUUUGAGGUGUUGGAUGAGAAAGGGUUAAUGGUGGUUGCUACCAUUCUACAAGAAAUUAGAGCUUGCCAUUAUGAGUGCUGUAGUUGAAGUGGGGUUAAUGUUAAACCAUGAUGGUACCUAGGAGACUUCAUCCAUUUGAAUAUUCUACACUCAAGAAACAGAAAGGUGACAGUUGUCAAAUACAUAUUAUGAACCAGCUGAAAUUAAAAUAUUCUUGUAUUCCUCAGAUUAUUUGUGUCAUGCAAACUCCACUUUAGAAAAUUCCAUUCUAAAUUGUUGUUUGAGAUUAUGUACCAUUCUAAUAUGAUCUCAUGGGGAAUUAUUUAGCCCGUAGCAACGCACGGGCACGAUUCUAGUGGAAUUGAAAAGAAUAGAGAUCGCGUAUGACAAGAGUACUCUAGGUAAUAUUUCUUCAAAUACCGAUUCAACUCCCUCAUUUUCACUUCAAUAUUUUCACCAAUGGUAUAGAAAUAGAACUUGAUGAAGCAUGCAUGGCAUUAGCUAUUUCAUUAAGUAGCUCAUUUGAAUACCACGUCUCAUCGAGCAAAACAUCUCGAAUUGCUAGCAACAUCUUCAAGAAAAGGUGGGCUGUAGGAUGCCUCACUUAAAGCAUCAUGAAUGUCCUUUACUGCUUUGUUAUUCACACUAGCAUUGUCUAAUGUCAAGGUAAACAGCUGUUCAAUCAACUCCCACUUCAUCAACCACAACUUCUUGUCCUAGAUCCAUAUCACCUAGAUGACACAACUUCUUAGCCUUCGGCCUAGUAUCUUCCAAGUGAACAAAAGAGCCUGGAAUGUGAAUAAGAUCAACAAAUUUGAAUAGAAUACCAACUUGUUUUGGUUUACUGACUGCUUGUAUUUUUAAUACUACAAUGAGUAGGUUUGAAGAAAAUAUGAUUCUGAAUAUGAUGCAGUUGUUUUGGCUCACAGCUAACUGUAUUUUGUUCCCAUGAUAAAACAAUUCUGAUCAGAAAUCUUGUUUUUUCACUUCAGAUUAGAAGUAAUGUAAGAUGUCAGAUUAAUGGACGAUGAGGAGCAUAAGUUUUAGGCUUUGAGGACACGCAGUGCCCCUCCAAUUGCAUACUGAUACUGCUAAAACGAAAGGGGACUGAGGUGACUGGGAUAUCAUCAGUAUCAGAUAUACUAGCAGCUAUGUUCAUGAGCUUCUAUGUGGUGAAACAAGCUGGAGAUGACUAAGGUAUUGGAGCUUUUUUUCACAGAACAGUAGGACCAUUUUCACGAGAUUCAACUGCCUGAUCUUAACUGAAUGGUAAACAUAAGCAAUACCAGUAUGCAACCAACAAAAGAUCUUGCACUCCCAUCUUACAUUCUCUAAAACAGUAACAAUUCUAAGUUCACAGAUCUAGUGGUACUAAAAAGCUCAAUGAACGAAUUUAAUUUGCCAAUGCCAUCCUCCUGCCCUACAAAACCCAAAAACUCAAGCAGAUUGAAGCUGCAAAGGAGAGUUUAAAAAUAGCCAACACUAGCAGAAUACUGCACGAACUAGGCACAGCGCAGUAUAAACAAAAAGACAAAUAGGAAAGGCAAACACAUCAGAUGAAAAUCACCUGCACGCCGACGCCACCUGCGUCCGCUGCUGAGGCCGCCUGCUCUUGCUGGCCGCCGCGCGUCGGCCUAGCCGCACGCCCUGCCGGAGCCCGCCGGGGGCCGGCCCCACGGGAGCGCCUCGCGGCGGCGCGCCGCUCGCCCGUCCCGCCGGCCGCCGCCCGCCCGGAUCCCGCGCGGGCCCCGCCCACCCCCACACGAGCCUGGACAGGCCACACGAGCCUUGCGCCGCCCACCCCCGCACCGCCCGGAUCUUGAGUUCUUGCGCCGCCGCCGCCGCACGAGCCUGGAGAGGCCGUGAAAAAGAGGAGAGGCCCUUUCCUGCGAUCCACGGGCUCGGCCCUUCCAAUUGACUCAAGGAUCGAUUAUGGGCCACGUUCACAGGUCAGCCCUUUUAUGGAGAUGGCCCGAUCUGAUCCUGCCCAUUCUUCGGGAAGGCCUUUUAAGGCUCGGCCUAUAUGAGCUUCUAAGGCCCGAUCGGUUUGGCCCUUGGAUUUUUACAGCCCUUUACCAGGCUUAAGUAUAGGUAUAAGGUUUUCUACGUAUCUAAAAUAUUUUCCACUAGAAAAGGUUUUCUACGUAUGUAAAAUAUUUCCACUUGACUACCCGAUAAGGCAAUCAUUCGUGUGGCACAUGCCCGGGGCCUACUCGGAAAGUGAGUGCGCAUCCUCUCACAUGAUUGGACACAUCCACUUGACUCCUCAAAGGUCGUCAAUGCUUGCAGCUUGCAUUUUCCACAGAAGCAGCAGCUCUUGAACCCACUGUCCAGCAUCUCCCUCUCCACCCACCAACACUGUGUUUCCCUGUCUACUGCGCGUGUGUUUUGGAGCUCCCGGCGUAGCCAUGGCUGAGGUACUGGCCACCAUGGUGGUCGGGCCACUGCUGUCCAUGGUGAAGGAGAAGGCCUCCAGCUACCUCCUGGACCAGUACCAGGUGAUGGAGGGCAUGGAGGAGCAGCACGAGGUUCUCAAGCGCAAGCUGCUAGCCAUCCUCGACGUCAUCACCGACGCAGAGGAGCAGGCGGCGAAGCACAGAGAGGGGGCGAAAGCUUGGCUUGAGGCGGUCCGGAAGGUGGCCUACAAGGCGAAUGAUGUCCUCGACGAGUUCAAGUACGAGGCGCUUCGCCGCAAAGCCAAGGCGGAGGGCCACUACAAGGCGCUCGGCAUGGAUGUAAUAAAGCUCUUCCCUUCUCACAACCGUGUUGUGUUCCGUUAUAAGAUGGCAAAAAGGCUCUGCAUGAUCUUGCGAGAAAUUGAUGUCCUCGUCGCAGAGAUGAAUGCGUUCAGGUUCAAAUUCAAACCGCAGCCGCAAAUGCCCAUGCAAUGGAGGCAGACGGAUGCUUGCAUCCCCACUGAGUCUGUGGGCAUUGCCAGCAAAUCAAGAGCUCAAGAGACGAAGGUUCUUGUUGAUCGAUUGCUUGCUGGAGCCAGCAGUAAGGAUCUCAUGGUCCUUCCGAUAGUCGGAAUGGGGGGGUUGGGCAAGACCACCUUAGCGCAGCUCGUUUACAAUGACCCUGAAAUUCAGAAGCAUUUCGAGUUGCGGCUCUGGGUGUGUGUCUCUAAUGAUUUUGAUGUGGAUUCCCUGGCUAACAGAAUAGUGAAAGAGAAUGGUUGUCAAGCAAGUGGAAGUUCACGAGCACUGCAUAAUCUGAAAAAGGCAGUGAGUUGGAAGAGGUACCUCCUCGUAUUGGAUGAUGUGUGGAACCGUGAUGAGCCCAGCAAGUGGGAAAGGCUGAAGUCCUACCUUCUGCAUGGUGGCUGCGGUAGCUCAGUGCUGACAACAACUCGCGAUGAAGCUGUUGCUAAACUAAUGAUGGGUACAACUGAAGGAGCCUAUAAACUUGGAAGCUUGGAUGAAGAGUCCAUAGGGAAAAUUAUCAAGGCAAGAGCAUUCGGUUCAAAACAAGAAAAGGAAUGGCCUGGUGAACUAGUUGACAUGGUUGGUGAAGUUGCCCAGAGAUGUGCUGGUUCUCCUUUAGCUGCUACGGCAUUGGGCUCUUUACUGGGUACCAAGACCAACAAGAAAGAAUGGGAGGAUGUACUAAAUGGAAGGACGAUUUGUGAUGAGGAAAAUGGGAUUUUACCAGUACUUGAACUAAGUUACCAUUGCUUGCCAUCAUACAUGCGGCAAUGCUUUGCUUUCUGUGCUAUGUUUCCCAAGGAUUAUGAGAUUGACGUGCAAAUGCUAAUCCACUUGUGGGUGGCCAAUGGUUUUAUCCCGGAGCAAUCAGGAGUGUGUCCUGAAACUAUUGGAGAAAAUACAUUCAAUGAGCUGAAGUCAAGGUCAUUUUUUCAGGUUUUGAAGAAUGUCCCAUUUGAAAAAAUAUAUUCAUAUGAAGAGGGUUAUAAGGACAUGUCUUGUUCUAGAAUUACUUGUAAGAUCCAUCACCUUAUGCAUGAUGUUGCACAGUCUGUUGUGGGAAAAGAAUGUGCUGCAAUAGCUACACACCAAAGUGAAAGAGCGGAUGUUCUUCGUUCAGCUCGUCACUUGUAUUUGUCAAUCCGUCGACCAGAAACUCUUCUGAAUGCUUCCCAAGAGAAAGGAUCUCCAGCUUUUCAAACACUGAUUUGUGACGGAUAUGUACAAGGAGAUUUGAAGAUUUUAUCAAAAUACAACUCUAUAAGAGCUUUAAAGAUCGAUUGUGGUUCAAUCCUAAGGCCGAAAUAUCUUCAUCACCUGAGGUAUCUGGAUCUCUCGAGAAGUGGUAUUAGAGCACUUCCUAAAGACAUUAGCAUCCUAUAUUAUCUGCAAACACUGAACCUUUCUUACUGUGAGUGGCUUGAACGACUUCCAAAGCAACUGAAGUAUUUGACUGGCCUCCGUCACCUCUACACUCAUGGAUGUUGGGAGUUGAAAAGCAUGCCCCCAGAGCUCGGACGCCUAACUUCCCUACAGGCGCUUACAUACUUUGUAGCAGGUGCCGACGACUCCGGUUGCAGUAAUUUGGGAGAGCUGCAGAAUUUGGACCUUGGUGGUACACUGAAGCUAAGCAAGCUAGAAAAUGUGACAGGAGC